rnacentral:lncRNA from 1 species
UUUUUUUGUAGUGAAUGGGGAGAACGGGUUGAAACCGUAGACGGCCUCGAAGGGGGACUUGCCGGUUGUGGAGUGUCUUGCACGGUUGUAGGCGUGCUCGGCGAUGGGUAGGCACUCCGCCCACUCCCUGAUGUUCUUGUUGAUCAACACGCAUAGUAGAGUGGAGAGCGUUCGGUUCGUCACCUCCGUUUGGCCGUUGGUUUGAGGAUGGUAUGCCGAAGAGAACAAGAUCUUGAUUCCGAGCUUGGCACAUAGAGUCUUCCAAAAGGAGCUCAAGAACUUCACGUCGCGGUUCGAGACAAUCGUCUUUGGCACUCCAUGGAUGCGCAAGAAUUCCCUACAAAAAAGAUUUGCAAUAUGUGAAGCAUCGUCUAUCUUGUUGCAUGGGAUAAAAUGAGCCAUCUUAGAGAAUCGGUCCACAACAACAAACACGGAAUCCUUUCCAUUUUGAGUCCCAGGCAAACCAAGUACAAAGUCCAUGUUAAUCUCUUCCCAAGGUUGACAUGGAAUAGGAGGUGGCAUGUAAAUACCAUGGGACUGAGCUUUUGACUUAGCUUUGCGACAUGUCGAACAUCGGUUGGUGAAGCGUGAGAUGUAGCGGAACAUCUUGGGCCAAAAAAGUUCUUGGAGAGUGUAGUGAAUGUCCUGUCACGUCCAAAGUGUCCCAUUAGUAUGCCUCCAUGAGCCUCUUUCAGAAGGAGCAAACGAAGAGAAGACUCGGGAAUGCAAAGUUUGUUAGCUCUCAUAAGGUUAUCAUCCUUGAUGUGAUAGCAUUCCCAAGAUGUAUGCGUCAAACACUUGGCAUAAGGAAUUGCAAAAGUAGGAUCAUGCGCAUACAAGUCUUUUAUGUGCUCAAAGCCAAUGACAAUUAGUUCAUGUUUAGUAACAAGCAUGCAUAUGCGGGAAAGAGCAUCCGCCACAAUAUUUUCCUUACCUUUGAUGUACUUGAUGACAUAAGGAAAAGACUCAGUGAAUUCACUCCACUUAGCAUGACACUUGUUCAACUUAGUUUGACCCUUUAGGUACUUGAGCGUUUCAUAAUCGGUAUGGAUGAUAAAUUCAUGAGGGCGAAGAUAAUGUUACCAUUCACACAAAACUCGCACUAAAGCAAAUAGCUCUUUGUGAUAGAUGGGAUAAUUGAGUUGUGCUCCGGAAAGUUUCUCACUAAAGCAUGCUAUGGAGCGCUUCUCUUGCGUUAACACACCUCCUAUGCCAUUACCACUAGCAUUGUAGAGAAUUUCAAAAGGUUUGUCAAAGUUGGGUAAUGCAAGCACGGGAGCAUGAGUAAGCAAAUUCUUUAGCUCAUUAAAUGCAGUAUCUUGGGAUGGUCCCAAAAAAAGGCGCAUUUUUCUUACUCAAAGAAUGCAAAGGUGAAGCAAUGGUGCUAAAAUACUUCACAAAUCUACGAUAGAAACCGGCUAAACCAAGAAAACUACACACUUGUUGCAAGUUGGUUGGUUGGGGACAAGUUUUAAUAGCAUUGAUCUUUGCUUCAUCUACAUCAACGCCCUUAGAAGACACAACGAAACCCAAGAAAACAAGCUUAUCAACACUGAAAAGGCAUUUGUCCAUAUUAGCAUAAAGGCACUUUUUCCUAAGGGUUUGCAACACGGUUCUAAGAUGGGUGACAUGAUCUUUCAGGGAUUUGCUAAAGAGAAGAAUAUCCUCGAAGUAGACCACAACAAAUACACCAAUAUACGGUUGAAGAACAAAAUGCAUGACUCGCAUGAAAGUACCGGGUGCUUCGGAUAAACCCAUUGGCAUAACUAGCCAUUCAUGUAAGCCAAAUUUGGUAUUAACUGCGGUUUUCCAUUCAUCACAUUCUUGGGUGCGUAUUUGAUAGUAGCCACUCUUAAGAUCAAUCUUAGAGAAGAUGGUGGCUCCGCUAAGCUCAUCAAGCAUAUCAUCUAGGCGUGGAAUAGGGUAACGAUAUCUAACAGUGAUAGCAUUGAUGGGACGGCAAUCGGAACACAUGUUAUAAGUGCCAUCUUUCUUAGGAACAAGGAUUAUCGUUACGGCACAAGGGCUCAAACUUUCACGUACAUGACCGUUGUCAAUGAAUUGUUGUACUUGCCGUUGGAUCUCCUUUGUUUCCUCAGGGUUGACACAGUAUGGAGCCUUUUUAGGUAGAGGUGCUCUGGGGAUGAGGUCGAUUCGGUGUUGGAUGCCUCGUAGUGGAGGUAGACCCGGAGGUAGCUCGUCGGGGAAAACAUCUUGGAAUUCUUAUAAAAGAGAAGACAACACUAAGGUAGAUUGUGAGAGGUGUUAGUUUUUGGUGCCUCGUCCUUGCACAAAAGGACAUAGUGCAUAACACUUGAUGGGUUCUCACACACUUAUCUCAUCUCACUUUUGGUGGCAAAUAGGACUAAGUUUUUCUUGUCACUCAUCGUGGAGGCACUCAAUUUUGGCUUGUGGCGCUCACUCUCUUUGUGGUGGUUCGCUCUCUCACUCUUUUAUCAGUGAUGGGUGGCUUGUUUGUCAGUGAUUACUUGACUUGAAGACAUUGGUCAUAGCACGUACUCCUUUCCUUUCAUCUUGAAGCUAUAUUGAUUGGUAUGCCCGUUGUGGAUGACGCCUCGGUCAAAUUGCCAUGGUCGACCAAGAAGGAGGUGGCAAACGGACAUCGGGACGACAUCACACUCCAAAGUGUCUUCAUAUGCUCCUAUCUUGAAAGAAACUCGCACCGUAUGCUUGACUUGGAUAGUGUCAGAGUCGCUUAGCCAUUGGACCUUGUAAGGGUGUGGGUGCUUCAUCUUGACCAAUUGGAGCUUGGAGCAUAGUUCUUUCACUUGCCAAGUUAUGACAACUCCCUCCAUCGUUGAUGACCUUGACGUACCUUCAUUGAUGCCGGACUUGGUGUGGAAGAUGUGUCAUCUUUGGUCUUCGUCUUGUUGAUGUUGAAGAGUCAAGACCUUGGAGACAAUGAGAGCGGGGCUCGAAUCCUCAUCACAAAAUACUUUAUCAUCUUCAUCUUCGUUCACGCGCCAUUGCAUGGCCACUUGCUCAAGGGCUUCCAUUUCCUCUUCACAUGGAGUCAUAGGUUCCGUCAUUGUUGAGGAUCAUGGAGCGCUUGUUGGUACACUCAAAGGACUUGUGGCCUCGGCCACCGCAUGUGAAACACUUGAUGGAACUUGUUUUGACGGUUUCAUCGGUUGGAGUAGAUGAUGAAGCUCGCGGCUUGAAGUUGCUUGUAGUAGGAGGAAGAAUUGAAGUUGUCGAAGUUUUCUUGUAACUUGACUUGUCGUUGUUGCUUGUAGAUGGCUUGGCUGAGGUAGAAGGUGUUGGAGUCGUUGAAGCUUGGGUGUUGGAGAAGUUGUAGCUCUUGGAAGAGUACUUGGCAUACUUGAAGUCAUCUUGCACUUGACGUUUCGCCUUGGUAGCUUGGUGCAUGAUCUCAAUGAGGUUGGAGUAGGGUUGGAAGUCGGCAAUCUUCUUGAUGGGAUGAUUGAGGCUAUUCAAGAAACGGUCCAUAGUUUGCUCAUCAUCUCCCGUGACAUUGGCUCUUAUCAUGGCAAUCUCCAUUUCCUUGUGGUAUUCUUCAACGCUCUUUGUUCCUUGAUUGAGGAGUUGGAUUUUCUUGAAGAGGUCAUGGUUGUAGUAUGUUGGCACAAAGCAUGCUCGCAUGACAUCUUUCAUUUCAUCCCAUGUGGUGAUUGGUGGUUCACCUCUUGCUUCUCGACGCUCAAGGACUUGUUCCCACCAUAUGAGCACAUAGUCUUGGAACCCAAGGGAUGCCAUAGCGAUCUUAUUCUCUUCCUCAUAGUUGUUAAAGUGAAAGAUCUUGUCAACCUUCAAUGCCCAUGAAAGGUACUCUUCGGGAUCAUUACUUCCAUUGAACUUGGGCAUGGUGAACUUGAGCUUGCCAUAGCAUUGAUCUUCAUUGUGUUGGAGUCGGGGAUGAUGUUGAUGCCCUUGAUAUGGAUGAUUUUCAACAUCAUAUUGCUCUUGGCGUGGAGGAUUUCCGAAGUCAUCAUGCUCUUGGUGAACUUGAGGUUGUGGAGGAGCUUGUCGAGCUUGUGGAGGAGCUUGAGGAACUUGAUGAUGCACUCUUGCUUGGUAGUUUCGCUCUUGAAUUUCUUGGCGAAGUGCUUCCUCUUGAUUGCACGUAUCUCGGUUGUGGUUGGCGACGGCUCGACUUGACUCUCGAAGGGCGCAUUGCGGCUCAAGUGCUUGUGCUUCACGUUGUUGUUGUUGAAGACAUUGAGCCUCGGCAUCUUGUUCGUCUUGGUGUUGGCACGCUCGCUCUUCCUCUUGGUGAUGUUGACAUUGCCUUUCUUGUGCUUGUGCAAGAGUAGCUUGAUUUUGGCAAUGACGAUGUGCUAGCUCGUCGAAUUUCUCUUGUGGAGGAUUGUCGUGUAGAGGAUUGCGAGUUGCUCGACGGUCUUGGCACGCGGCUCAAUGUAGAGUGUUUGAUGUUGGUGUACUUGAACCAGAGAGGGUGUCAUCGGAGUGUCGACUCGAGCGGCUCCGUCUUGAGUAGGACGGAGUGGUAGAAGAGCGGUUUACCAACAAGGAACGAAUCUCGUCCAUUCUUGCAUCGUUCUCUUGUUUGUGUGUCGGGCUUGUUGUCGAAGUAGUCUCUUGUUCGUUGCUCGGAGAGUCACAAGUUGGUGGCGAGAUUGUCGAUGCGGUCGCUCAUUGCUUGUUGUUCUUGAUGCAAAGCUAUUUGUGCACCAAAAAGGUGGCUCUUGGUGACAUAUGAUGACAUGUCAUCGUCUUGCUCGAUGAAGAGUGGGUUGAUAGAAGAACUUGGCCUAUCCAUUGUUCCAAGCAAAUAUGUGAGUGGGAGAAAGAGAAGAACUUAUACCAAAUGUACCUUGACCGAUGUUGAAGGUGGAUCAAUGAUCACUUAAAUGUGGAACAAGGAAAUAGCACAAUUGGUACCAAUUCUUGUCGGUUCUCACAGCUACACAAGUAAAAUCUUAUGGUGGAGCUCGGUUAGGAUGGUGGCACAAAAUUUGAUGCAAUUGUUAGUGAGCUUCAAAAAUGUUGGAAAAGAUUCACAAAUUUGCAAAUGCAACAAGUAGACCAAUAGCAAGAUAUGGUACAAAGAAACACACACACACACAAAUAGAUAAGUGGGGUCGUGCAACCAAGGAGUGAGCCAAAAUGUGGAAACCACGAAAAUGCUCUUGUUGCACAACACUAGAGAGACGCUAGCACGUUUGCACAAUAGGCGGAUAUGAAACUUUUGCACAACCUACUAAGCAAAAGUGCAACGACUUCUAUCCCAAGUAUGCUAUAUGUAUAGUAUUCCGAUGGUAUGAUCCAAGAUGAUUGAGUAUCACAAUCUUAAUGUAGUAUGAUGCUAUGGUUCUUGCUUAUAGGCUCUUUGCUUAUCUUUCCCUUUUGCUUAAAAGCUUGUUUGGCUCUUUCUCUUUUGAGCUCUUUUCUCAUGCAAAAUUUCAUGAACCAAGAUAGCAAUUGUGUAUAUGCGAUGACAACUUUGUGACACAAGAGAUGAUACCAAGAUAUGCACCAUGAUGAUAUGGUAUGUAUGCUACGGGAAGUAUGAUCAGUAAUGUGCACAAGUCACGUUGCCGGCAAUACUCAAAGGCUAGUCUCGAUGGGUAAGCAACGCAAAAUUGGGAUAUGGUGGUUAUCAAUGCAAUGGAAAGGAGUAGACAAAGAUGUCGUCGAGGUUACCGUCAGGGUAGUCGUUUGUAAGCAAGGACGGUUGUUGGCGAUGACGAGUCCUUGGCGAAGAUGAGAGGUGGUGAUGUUGAUGUCAAACUGAACCUGUAUAGCCAAAACACAAUAGGACACGGGAACCACAACUCAAAUUCUCAAAGACCAAAAUGGGUGAAAAUUGUCGGAGUUGGUAGUGGGUAAGCGAUGGUGGAGCUUGCGGAAAGCGGUGUUGGUAUUGCAGUGCGUAUGCGGUGGUGGAAAGGCAGUUGUAGUGCGUAUACGGAAGUGGGCGGUGGUUGAAAAUUUUCAGGAGAAAAAAAUUCAGUUUCCUCAGGGAACAUCGGUCGUCCGGUCAGGGAGCGGCCGUCUGGUUGUCAGAUGUCCGGUGGCUAGCGGACGUCCGGUGCCUGGGCGAUUUCGGGCACGGGAUGAACAACUAGGGUUCGUUGUGGAAGUGGCGAAAUUGGUCAAAUAUGAGCGACUUUGUGGAUGGAAAUGGUGGAGAUGAUGGGGGAAAGCUAGAUCCUAUUGUGGCAAAGCAAAUCCAUGGAUCAAAUUCAACACAACUUCAUCACACCAACAAAUCACAAAAAAAAAUUGGGCUAUUUUUGGUGGGGAUUUUUGAAAUUGGGGAAUAACACAACAAAAUCAAGCUAGAAAACAAGGGGUAGGGGCUCCAAAUACGUGAUCAACGUGGCUCAUGAUACCAAGAUGAUGUAGGGUAGAACCCUAUAUGCCCGAUCUUUCACGAUUGGAGGGGAUCCUAUGAAGAACACAAAGAACACGAGGAGAAAUCACGAGGGGAAACACUCAAACCAACAAGAUUCGGUCACGCAUGUGCUAGAUCCUCGAAACACAAAAAGAUACACGAUUAAAAUCCAACAAAGGACGAUACAAGUAGCUAGUUCAUCUCCAUGAGGAGCUAUUGAGGGGUCUUCCCAUGAAGGGGUCUUGAAUCCGCUUGGUGGAUCUUCUCCGAAGAGGUCGUGGACUCCGAUGGAGAAGUAACCAAGUGGAUGAGCAAAGAUCUAUCUCUAAUAUGAGCAAAACUAAUGCUAACCCUAACUAGGAGGAGGAGGAGGUCUAUUUAUAGUCUAAGUGCAAAAGGGGGCGGAAUGAAAGGGUACAUGGGCCUCGGGCCCAAAGCUGCGCAUACACAGGCAGCGGACGUCCGGUCUCUACCGGUCGUUCGGUCGCUCACGGAGGUCUGGACGUUCGGUACGGCUCACACUUCCACUAAUUUUGUUCUGUAAUAGUGGUAACGGACGUCCGGAGGUGGUCGGUCAUGUCGGACUUCCACAGAAUCGGCUCGGGUGUGGAAUUUCUGGUUGUCCGGUGGGGGCCAGAUGUCCUCUCACUGGAAGUGUUGCCGGUCGUCCGGAGAAGGCCGGACGUCCGCUCGUUGUAGCUUUUGUCGGCUGGGACUUGGUGUCGGUGUCAAAACCGGCGGAUCUCGGGUAGGGGGUCCCGAACUGUGCGUCUAAGGCUAAUGUUAACAGGAGGCAGGGGACGCAAUGUUUACCCAGGUUCGGGCCCUCUCGAUGGAGGUAAUACCCUACUUCCUGCUUGAUUGAUCUUGAUGAUAUGAGUAUUACAAGAGUUGAUCUACCACGAGAUCGUAGAGGCUAAACCCUAGAAUCUAGCCUAUGAUUAUGAUUGUUGUUCUUCUACGGACUAAACGCUCCGGUUUAUAUAGACACCGGAGGGGGCUAGGGUUACACAGAGUCGGUUACAGAGAAGGAGAUCUACAUAUCCGAAUUGCCAAGCUUGCCUUCCAUGCAAAGGAGAGUCCCAUCCGGACACGGGACAAAGUCUUCAAUCUUGUAUCUUCAUAGUCCAAUAGUCCGGCCAAAGUAUAUAGUCCGGCUGUCCGAGGACCCCCUAAUCAAGGACUCCCUCAGUAGCCCUAGAACCAGGCUUCAAUGACGAUGAGUCCGGCGCGCAGAUUGUCUUCAGCAUUGCAAGGUGGGUUCUUCUCCAAAAUCCCUGAGUACUUAUUGUAACGAGUAGUGUCCGGCUUCCCAUUAAUGUUGCUCUCUUCGGCUUCUGUGCUUUAAUAAUGGCUAUCUCCACGUGUCGAGCGAAUGCGAGAAGUCGGGGCAUUUUUACAUUUGCCACCCUGUCCAAGUAAGUAAAUCAUCUAUUUAAGGAGACGGGGAUCCUCGGAUCCAAAUCACACCAUCCUCCCUGAGCGAGUAUUCAUCAGAGCGUGCCCGGAAGAAGCCAUCCCAUCAUGGCCGGCCGUCACAGCUCCUCUCGCUCCCGUAACACUAAGCCAGGUGAUUGGGAGAAGUAUUCUAUCCCCCAUAGCUGAUUGGUAGAGUUGCAGACCCAGGGGUUUCUCCCACCUGCGUACAUGGUCCCUGUCCGAGCCGGACUAGCCACUUAUAGUGGCGGGGAGCAAGCGGAGAGUUCUCCCAACCCAUCCAAGGGGGAGCGGGUAUGCCUUGUCCCUUAUUUGCUGAGGGGACUUGGAUUUCCAAUCCAUCCGUUCCUCCACGGUCUCCUGGAGUUCUACGGCCUCCAGCUGCAUAACUUCACUCCUGCCUCAAUACUACACAUCGCAGGCUAUGUCGCCUUCUGCGAGCUAUUUCUGGGCUGCGAAGCUCAUUUCGAGCUAUGGAAGAGGCUAUUCUGCCUCGUACCCCGCACUCAGGAGGGAUCGAUAUAUCAAGUGGGCGGAGCCGAAAUAUGGCGCAUCGCCGGGACCGGAUACCUGUCCGGUACUCCUAAGAAGACAUCCUAAGACUAGCCCUUGGAGUGGUUUUAUAUGGAGGAUGUCCCCCUUCCGGACCCUAUUCGGAUGGCCUUCCUGAGUUUGCAAAUGCCCCAUUGAAGAAACGCCAUAGCUAGCGCCCCCGGAACCCCCAGGAGGAAGAUAACAGAGAGGUCCUUUUCCUGAUAGACAAGAUAAAGACGCUGGUCAAAUCAGGACUGACAAUAAUUGAGGUUAUGUCAAUAUGUAUAAUGUGGGGAGUGCAGCCACUUCAAUAUCGGGGGAAACCCAUGUGGCACUUCAAUGGAGAAGACGACGCCACCCGCUGCGGUUGUAAAGGUCCAGACUCCACCGCCGCUCUGGCGAAAAUACUGUCCGAUUUGUACAAAGGAGAAGAAGAGGAGUUCAUCCGUAUUAAGCCACGGGAUGGAUUCUCCAUGUACAACCCCCCAAGCUGGGUGAGCUGCUAUCUUUUAUUCCAGUCUUUCUCGCAUUCUUCAUCACAAAUAUUUACCUUGCCAAUUCAUAGCAAGAACUGUGAAAAGCUAUGAGGGAGGUCCACAGCCCGUCUCCACACCCAGAGGACCCCGACCAGACCCUCGACCCCGGACUCGAAGAAGAUCCGGACGUAUUUAUGGAGCUUAUUGACAGGGCGUUCUAUCAGCUAAGUCGUGAUGGUGCCUUGGUGGCCAUCAUAGCCGAUUACCCUGGCCCACUCUCUGCAUCGCAUGUAAGUAAAACCGAAGUCCCAACUUCUGAGAAGGAUCCCUUCUUUGCAUCUUACCCACCGCACAUAUAUUGCGUUUUACAGGGAAGGCCAUCGGGGCGCCGUGCCGAACCCGCAAUGACUCGUCAACAAGGGGCACCUAAACUGGGAAAGCUCAAAAGGAAGGCAGUUAGGACUAAGACGCCGUUGCAGAGGUAUGAUUAAAACCUUGCUCCACGAUUAUCAUCUUUAAAAUAUAAUAACAUCUGUGGUUCCAGGCAGAAAAAAUGCUCGCCGGACUGUGUCCGGAGAGCCUGCUGGCCACGCCUCCACCAGCCGGACUCCAGAACCGGACUUAGGGACAAAGGCUAACGCGGGGACAACGCCGGAUGGUCCUUGUUGGGGAUAUUACCACCGGGCGUGAACCGGCCUAUCUGGGCCGGGUUAACUUCAGUAGUAGUAUAAGCAUAUGAAGGCCCAAGGCCUGUAGUCGGUUUAUAGCUUGUAGCCGUAAACCAGCUUGAUAUGUAAACUUGUAUUGUAAGUUAGGAAUAGAGAGAUACCAACCGGUAUACGAGUAUGAACCGGUUGGGACUCUAUGGACCGACGGGCGUCACCCGUGUAUAUAAGGGGUCGACCCGGCGGCGGUUCAGGACAGACAACAACAACUCGAGCCUAGGCGAAGCUUGUUUGCUCCCUAGCCAUCGAAACCACAUCAAUUCCAUCACAACUAGACGUAGGCUUUUACCUUCAUCGAAGGGGCCGAACUAGUAUAAACCCCCGUGUCUUUGUGUCCGCUUUAACCCCUUCAAGUUAACCCAUAGAGAUGGCUCCACCACUAAGUCCUUCCACUAGGACAUCUGCCGUGACAAAUCCACGACAGUUGGCACCCACCGUGGGGCUAUCGCACGACGGUUUGAUGAUCUUGGAGGGCAAGCUCAAAGGACUCGAAGGCUAUGUUGUGGGCCGGAUGACCAAGAGUCGUCGCGGCAAGCUCUACAUCGACGAUUCAGGAUGGGGUCCCGAAGCCAGCUCGAUCGAGUACGGAUACCGGGUCCCCUUUGGAGGCAUACACGUUUUCAUCGGCAAGAUUGGUGAGCCUGGGCCUGAGCCGGACAUCUGCACUGACCUCAUCGAGACGGCUCAGCGUGCGAGAUCUACCCAGGUUAAACCGGCCGUGAAGCGUGCCUUCGUUGGAGUCAUCCACGGAGGAGAGCAUGAGGACGAGCCGAAAUACGGUAGCGAGACCAUCGUCUAUUCCGGCAACGAGUCCUCGACCGGAGAGACUGAAUCAUUGUACCAGUUGCAAGACAACCAGAUUAGGGGCUGUUCCGAUGGCGACAGUAUUCCGGACCCCCCAGAUUAGAUCAACCGGGUUGGAAUAUUCAUGGCCGGCACACAGGCGGCGAAUCACUCUUCGACCGCAGCAGCAAUGCUCUCUGGAUCAGCAGCGGCAGCGGCAGCAGGGGCAGGAGGCCUUAUACGCCCACCGGUUCAAGUUCUGUCUGACCUAUUUGAUGCGCUAGCGGUACUUAUGGCCGAGGCCAAUUCGGCGGAUCAGGAGGCCCAUGAUGCGGAGGUUGCGAAGGUGAGAGAGCAGAUCGUGCAGGCCAAAGCCGAUCUGGCGGCAGAGAGAGACCGGAUGGCCGCAGAGCGGGCCGCUUUAGACGCCCAGGCCUAUAAGCUCAUGCUUGACCAGAGCGCAUCACAAGAGGUCUUAAAGCGAAAGCACAGGUCACGCCUGCCAUUAGGGUAUGACCCUCGAAAUCUCUUUUAUACUCCGGGAGCAGGAACCAGUAAUCCGCCAGGGCACCAGGAGGUAAACCGGGUCGAAGCACCAGGGCCAGGAGCGAUGGUCCAACCCCGCCUGAUGGAACCUCCUCGGCAGAACAUUGUGAUUCCUCCACCGGUCCAGACACCUCCGAGUCAUUAUUCAAAUCCUAUGGACAAUCUUGUCGCAGCUGCUGCGCGAUUAGAAGCUAUCCCGGUCGAAGGAGACUCUCCACAGGCAAUAGAAACACGCCGGGUUAAGGAACUUCUCUGGACUGCUUUGAUUCAGCAGGAAGCGUAUUCAUAUAGCCGUGACCGGAUUCAUUCCACACCUCGUCCAAGCCGGAGCUACAGUAGGCGCGUGGAUGAUCCGGCCGUAUCAAGCAACGCGCGGAACCAUGAAGCGGCCCGGGGCAAUAGCCCGGCAGGUGGUGUUCGCGAUGCUCAGGAUGUAGUGGACCAGGCCCGAGCACGAAGGGAGGCCGAGUUAGCAGCACAGAACGAGGCGGAUCAGCUUACACCGGUCCGUCCCACCACCUCGGCCGGGCCAGGAGUGGCAUCUAGCUUGGGAGUACCCUAUUUAGUCCCCGCUUUACGCAAUGUGCGCCUGCCAAAAGACUUCAAGGGUCCGCGCAAGGUGCCGAAUUACACCGCUGAUUUAUCUCCAGAAGCAUGGGUAGAGAGUUAUGAGAUGGCCAUGGAAAUGCUGGAUGUGGAGGAAACCGCGUGUGCAAAGUACUUCACCAUGAUGCUUGAAGGCACGGCCCGUACUUGGUUGAAAAGCCUGCCGCCUAAUUCCAUCAGUUCAUGGGCUCAGUUGCGGGCCCGGUUUAUCCAGAAUUUCAAAGACACAUGUAAGCAGCCUAAGUCCAUAGUUGAUUUGGCGGCUUGUGUUCAGGAGGAUGGAGAGUCAACAACCCAUUGGGUGCGACGCGUUUCGGAAGUUUUGCACUCGUCUGACAGGAUCAAUGCUGACUCGGCGAUCAUAACCCUGGAGGGCAACUGCCGGUUUAUGCCUUUAAAGUUGAAGCUGGGGCGUAUGAAGCGGUUCUGUAAUGACAUGGGAACUCUCAUGUCCGCUUUAGUGAAGUAUGCUGAUUCUGAUAGUACCAAGGAACCCGAGACUGACGAUGACGAAGCAGGGAAGGGAAAGAAGAAUAGCAAUUCCAAGGGGCAUCAAUAUAAACCGGCGGGCCAUGGAAACGGAGGCAAGCGUAAAGCGGAUGGCAGCAUGGACUUUGUGGCUAACACUAAUGCGCAGGACAAGGGUCAGCGGUGCAGAGGUAAAGCGGCGAAUCGUAAUGGGGCUCCAAAUCCUAACCCGGAUCGCUUAAACUAUUUGAUGAAUCAGCCCUGCCCAAAACACGGGACGAAGGAGGCGCCGGCUAACCACCUUUGGAAGGAUUGUUACAUUAUGCAGGAAUUUAAAAACUCUAAUGCCUUCCGGUAUGACCGUGGGUCAGGUGGUGGUUCAGGAUCCGGUUUCAAUGGGCCGAGUCAUGAUGGAGCUUCCGGUUCAGGUUUCAAUCAGGGCGGUAAUAGUAACCAGAACAAUCAAAGCGGUCAAGGGGGCUACAACCAAUAGCAGCAGCAGUAGCAGUCGGGUUAUCAGAGCCAGCCAAAACAGUUGAACAAUGGGCAGUAUCACGUUUUCACAACUAGCUUGGAUAAGCGCGACCGGAAGCUUCACAAGCGUGCGGUGAACUCUGUUGAACCGGCUGUACCACGUUACUUACGCUGGUCGGAGCAGCCUAUCGUGUGGAGCAGGGAGGAUCACCCCCCCCCCCCCGGAUAGACAACCCGGGGCAGUUGGCAUUAGUGGUAGACCCUUAGGUGGGAGGUUACAAAUUCACCAAGGUGCUCAUGGAUGGAGGGAGCAGUAUUAACAUCCUGUACUAUGAGACAUUCCGCCGCAUGGGGCUAACAGACAAGGAUCUCAGACCGUCUAAUACGGUGUCCCAUGGUGUGGUGCCUGGCAAAUCGGCAUACCCUGUCGGUAAGAUAGCCCUGGAGGUGGCUUUCGGGGACGAGCAUGAUUCCCGAUCUGAAACACUAACCUUUGAGGUGGUGAAAAUCCGGAGCCCGUAUCACGCCUUGUUUGGGCGGCCAGCUUAUGCAAAAUUCAUGGCACGGCCUUGUUAUAUCUAUUUGCAACUCAAGAUGCCGGGUUACAAAGGGACAAUCAUGGUUCAUGGGAGCCGCAAGAUUGCUUUGGAAUCUGAGGAAGGUGAUGCGGCCUAUGCAGAGUCGGUUUGCGCCACGGAGGAGUUGAAAUAUUAUAGGGACAAUGUUGAUCCGGCGGACAUGACCCCUUUGAAGAAGCCCACUACGGAGCAUGAUUCAGAUAUGAAGUUCAAAUCGGCAGCUGAGACCAAGCUUGUUGACUUCGUGCCCGGCGAUUCGUCCAAGCAGUUCACUGGCAGUGCCAACUUGGACCCUAAAUAGGAAAGCGUGCUCAUCGAGUUCAUCCGUGAGAAUCGGGACAUUUUUGCAUGGAAGUCUGCUGACAUGCCAGGUGUACUGAGGGAACUCGCUGAGCACACUCUUAAUGUUGAUCCCAAGUAUAAACCGGUAAAACAGUUUCUCCGUCGGUUUAACGAAGAAAGGCGCAAAGCCAUUAGAGAGGAAGUGGCGAGACUCUUAGCAGCUGGCUUUAUCAUUGAAGUGUUCCAUCCAGAGUGGCUUGCUAAUCCGGUGCUGGUUCUUAAGAAAAAUGGCACUUGGCGUAUGUGUGUGGAUUACACGGAUCUUAGCAAGGCUUGUCCAGCGGAUCCUUUUGCCCUCCCCCGCAUUGACCAGAUUAUUGAUGCCACGGCGGGUUGUGAGCGUUUGAGUUUUUUGGAUGCAUACUCGGGGUACCAUCAGAUCAAAAUGGCGGUUAAGGACCAGGAGAAGACGGCGUUUAUUACUCCCUUUGGAGCCUUCUGCUAUGUAUCUAUGCCUUUUGGGCUCAAGAGCGCCCAAGCCACUUAUCAACGGCGCGUACAGAACUGCCUGCAUAAACAGAUCGGCCGUAAUGUGCACGCCUAUGUGGACGAUAUUGUAGUCAAGUCAAGGCAGAAGGAGACGCUGGUUGAUGAUUUGAAGGAAACCUUUGACAACUUGAGGGCUUACAAGAUGAUGCUUAACCCGGCCAAAUGUGUCUUUGGUGUUCCGGCAGGCAAGUUAUUGGGUUUUCUUGUGUCCAAUAGAGGAAUUGAGGCCAAUCCGGAGAAAAUUACGGCAAUCACCUCCCUAGCUAAACCGAAGUGUAUCAAUGAUGUUCAGCGUUUGGCGGGUCGGAUCGCCGCACUGAGCCGGUUUAUCAGCCGCCUCAGAGAGAAGGCCAUCUCUUUGUACCAGAUGCUGAGGAAGACAGAUCAAUUCAUCUGGAGCCCGGCUGCUGAUGAAGCGUUGGAGGACUUAAAGCGGCAAUUAGCCAAUCCGCCCGUUCUUGCAGCUCCGGUCGACAAGGAGCCGUUGUUGUUAUACGUAGCGGCCAAUGCUCGAGCAGUUAGCGUGGCUAUUGUGGUGGAACGCAAGGAGGCAGGCAAAGAGUAUCCGGUUCAGCGGCCGGUUUAUUAUAUCAGCGAGGUGCUCAUUGAAUCCAAGCAAAGAUAUCCGCAUUGGCAGAAGCUGGUAUAUGGAGUUUUCAUGGCAAGCCGAAAGUUGAAGCAGUAUUUCCAAGGGCACCCCAUCACAGUGGUCAGUUCAGCUCCCUUGGGCGAUAUCAUACAGAACCGGGAGGCCACUGGCCGGAUUGCCAAGUGGGCCAUAGAACUUGGGCCGCACGGAUUGAAGUAUGUGCCUCGGACGGCAGUAACAUCUCAAGCACUUGUUGAUUUCAUCAAUGAUUGGACAGAGUUGCAAGCACUAGAGGAGAAGCCGGAUCACACAUAUUGGACUAUCUAUUUUGAUGGAUCCAGGCAAUUGGAAGGCUCGGGGGCUGGAGUUGUAUUAACUUCCCCACGAGGUGAUAAGUUUUGUUAUGUUCUCCGCUUAAUGUUCCCUUGUACUAAUAAUGCAGCUGAGUAUGAAGCUUUGCUCCAUGGUCUCCGGAUGGCUAAAGAGAUGAAUCUAAGCCGGGUUAAGUGCUUCGGUGACUCGGACCUCGUGGCUCAACAGGUGUCUGGCACUUGGGAUUCUAAGGACCCACUUAUGGCUGCAUAUCGUCGCGAGGUGGAUAUGGUUGCAGGUCACUUCAAAGAUUAUCAGGUGGAUCACGUGGAUCGUCGAAAAAAUGAAGCGGCGAACGCUUUAUGCCGGUUGGGCUCUCAGCGUAAACCGGUCCCGCCUAAUGUCUUUCUUGAUGUGUUGCACAACCCGUCAGUCAAGCUCCUGGGUGAAGCGGAUUUGGCUAUUCCUGAUCCGGAGGCUCAAUUGGUGGCAGCCCUGCAUAUUAUACCGGAUUGGACAGUUCCUUAUCUUGCGUACAUGAACCGGGGAGAGUUGCCAGAGGAUGAGAUUUUAGACAGGCAGAUAGUCCGGCGAUCCAAAUCUAUGAAAAUUGUCAAUGGCGAAUUGCAUCAUUGCAGUGUAUCAGGGGCGUUUCAACGCUGCAUCUCUCCUGAGGAAGGCUGCGAAAUCUUACGAGAAAUCCAUGAAGGGGAUUGUGGUCAUCACGCCGGUUCAAAGUCUCUGGUGGCAAAGGCGUUUCGUCACGGGUUCUACUGGUUGACAGCUCAUGCUGAUGCGGAAGACUUGGUUAAGCGGUGUGAUGGUUGUCAGAAAUUUUCAAGGCGUGCUCAUGUGCCGGCUCAAGAAUUGAGGAUGAUUCCAAUUACUUGGCCAUUUACAACAUGGGGGCUGGAUAUGGUCGGGCCUUUUAAAAGAUCCGAGGAUAAGAAAACCCACCUUUUGGUGGCAGUUGACAAGUUUACCAAGUGGGUUGAAGCGGAGCCUGUCAGCAAGUGUGAUGCAGCUACAACGGUGCAGUUUAUUAAGAAGGUGAUUUUCCGGUUUGGCUUUCCACACAGUAUCAUUACUGACAACGGUACCAAUUUAUCUAAGGGUGCUAUGAAGGAAUUCUGUGAACGUGAGCACAUCCGACUUGACGUAUCGUCAGUGGCUCACCCCCGAUCCAAUGGGCAGGCAGAACGGGCUAAUCAAGAGAUCUUGCGGGGCAUCAAACCCCGGCUUAUGGUUCCAUUGCAAAGAACACCGGGUUGUUGGGUUGAAGAGCUACCGUCUGUGCUAUGGAGUAUCAAUACUACGCCCAACCGAUCUACAGGAUACACGCCGUUUUUUAUGGUCUACGGAGCGGAGGCGGUUCUCGCUAGUGAUAUCCGGCACGAUUCACCUCGUGUUGCGGCUUAUGUUGAAGCGGACAAUGAGACAGCACGGCAAGACGCUUUGGACCUAUUGGAUGAGGAGCGCGACAUAGCGGCUGCCUGCUCGGCGAUUUAUCAACAAGAUCUUCGUCGAUAUCACAGUCGCCGGGUUAGAACCGGAACUUUUCAAGAAGGAGAUUUGGUGCUUCGGCUCAUCCAAGACCAGACGGAUGCGCACAAGUUAUCCCCGCCUUGGGAAGGACCUUUCGUGGUCAGCAAGAAUCUGCACAACGGGUCAUACUAUCUGAUCGAUAUUCGGGAGCAUAAAGACUCACGCAAAUCAGAGGAGGAGACCUACAGGCCGUGGAACAUAGCUCAUCUUCGGCCUUACUACACUUGAGCCAUCGACUCUUUCUAUGUACAUAUUAUGACAAUGUAUAUAUUAUCUUUGAUAUAAUAAAACCGGAGCCUCAGCUAAAGCGGGGUCUCUGUCCUUUCAUAUCAUGUGAGGUUACAUGGAGUAGUUCUGUUUUAAAGCGGCCUCCAGUUUACCCCUUGAAAUUUGCUUUUUAUAUCACUUGGGGCCUUGGUCGUAUCCGAACCAACGCGACACCUUUUGAUAGGCGAAAGCCACCAGAUCACUUGGGGACAUGGUCAAGUCUGAACCAGUCACGCCUCUUGAUCGGCCUAAGGCCACAAAAUCACUUGGGGGCUUGGUCGAACCCGAACCAUUGCCACGCCUUUUGAUUGGCAUAUAUGCCACGGUUUCAUUUGGGGACCUGGCUGACUUGAGCCAUUGUCACUCCUAUUGGGGGCUUGGUCCUGUCCGACCAUGGUAACACCAUCUGAUCGGCUCAGUAUAGCAUGUUUUUUGCAAACGGUUUUUAUCGUUGCCUUUGCUUCCAUAUUUCUUUAUGGCUAUCUCUUAAUUUCUGUUGUGUUUCCUUCAAACCAACAAUACUUUUUAACCGUUUCAGCUGACAGAUUCGGUUCAUUUUUAAUCCGGCGAAGUAUACCCGGUUUACCUUUCCUGUUAACAUCAUGGAGUCACAGGGGGCUCGUAAUGACCCAGCACGGUUUACAUGGGAGCUGUUUUUCUCCCCUUUUACGGUAAUGGUUUAUAAAACCUCCGCUUCAAGCCUGGCUAAGACAACUUCAUGCCCAGUGAUGGAAGGUACUUUGUAUCGCUUAAAUUAGUUAUAUGUUUUAAAUACAUUGAUGAUAUAUAUAUAUCAAGAUCAUAAACCGGCUGGCGAUACAACCGACACCGAAGUUCAAGAUUUUCUGAUUGCAGGAAAUAUAAUUUGAGGCUUUUCAAACAAAAGCAUCAGUACUUAUGCACGAAGGCAUAUUCAAGACAGAAGCAUUAACUAUCCUAUUACAAGGCAACACGGUGGCCAAAUAAGAUCAUUGUUAUUUUGGCAGAUCAUCAUAAGGCAGCCAUUUAAACCAGCCUCUGGUUCAAGCCUGCUCAUCGUCUUGCGUCGCUUCAGAUUCCUCAUCUCUAUCCAUUGGCUGGAAAUCAACAGUGGUCCAGUCGAUUCCCAUUAAAGCUUGAAAGACAGCCUCUUCAUGGAUCAGAGAAACGGUUCAAUAUCAGGAGCGUAAGUAUGCUUACGGUUUGGAGGAAUCAGAUUCUCCGCUUCAAAAGCUGGUGCAGCCACUCGCUUGUUCUGAUCAUCGUACUGAGCUUGGUAAUGCGACAAGUCUGCCUCCUCGGCUAAUUGAUAAGCCAGAGGGCGCACUGCACGGUUUAUCGCUCUCAAAUCCUCUUCAUUGAAUUCUGAGCCAUCUUCCUUCAAGCUGGGAUAGCCUUGAGCUGCUUCAACAGGAUCGAAAUCCGGCACCCAUGCUUUUGCCCGGAUCAAGGCAUUAAUUGCUCCGGUUCGAGCAGCAGAUUUCUUCAGUUCUUCAAUCCGGGCAGGAAGCAUUGACAACCUCUUCAGAGUAUCUUCAAUUAAAGUAGGUGCCGGAUUGUUAUGAGAUGCAGUGGUAAUGAUCCGCUGCGCUCCGAUAUACAGUUGCUCAAUCAAAUUGUAUGCAGCCUUCAACUUCAUCCGAACAUCUGAUCCUAAGUGACCAAUACGUGUACCUGCAACAAUACAAGAGAAGUCACAAACCGGAUCUGUUGUAAGCAGGUCAGAAUUAUCAAAGAAAUCAAAAGGAGCUUACCAAAGAUAGCAACGGUCAUGGAAUGUACUUGCCGCUUUACGGCAGUAAGUUCAUCUACCACUGGUUUAAGGGCAGCUUCGGCAUUUUCAGCCCUUUUUGUUAAACCGGCCUUUUCAGCGGCCCAAUCAGCCUGCUCCUUGUUGAAGCCCUCCUUCAGCUUUUCUGUGAUGCUCAAGGCGCCGGUUAAUUCUUCCUUUGCCUUGUCGGUUUCAGCCUGUUGGGUUUUCAAAGUUGCCUGAAGAUCAGUAAUCCGGUCCUCUUUGAUCUUCACUUCAGCCUGCAUACAGACAGUGCUUGCUUUCAAACAAACAGUGCAAGAAUCUGAAGUACCAACCACAUAACAAGUUAUGCGCUUGAUACUUGGGGGCUAAUGCACCUUCAAUUUUCAUCUAUUACUAAAUCGCAAAGUCCCAAGCUCAAUACAGGUAUUCAACUUGGCACUUGGGGGCUAAUGGCUAUUUGCUCAGUUAUGUUCUCAUGUUAUAAUCUUUAUUGAAGUUCCGGUUUAACUAUGCUAAGUUGAACCGGCCCUCGGGGGCUACAUUACUGGAUUUCAAAGUAUUGUGGACAGUAUUCAAGUCCCGGUUUGAAGAAGACUACAAACCGGCCCUUGGGGGCUAGGAGGAUAAAUAUAGUGGCAGUACUUAAAGAAAGAAGAAGCACAAGGAAGUUACCUCAAAUUUAUCUCUCAUCAUCUUUACCAGGCCAGCUUCACAGUCACGACUAGUAUAUAGUCGGUUCAAGUAACCCGAAUGAAGAUCAUGGGCACUCAGAGCAGCAUAUGUUUCCAGCUCAACAUCCCAUUUACCCUUGUUCAGGGCAGAAAAAUCUUCUUUCACAGUAUGCUUGGUUAAAGCGACAGGAUUCCCUGGUUCAGAGCGACCCACACCGGUAAUCACAACGUCAUCAUCUUUGGACUCACCGGUUUGCGUUGGCGCGGUCGGAUUGUCGGCAGGUUUUGAAGGACUGCGGGAUCUUUCAAUCCGGAUGGAGCUGGCAGGCGGGUCAACAGGGAUUGAGGCAUUGAUAGGCCUUUUCUCAAGGAUAGUAUCAUCUUGCAAGGGAGGAUCGUUGGGAAUAUCCUCAUGAACGAACGCUUCAAGAUCUGGAGCUCGACCCUGUUCAGGGGCCACAUCUUCCUCGGCCGCUUUGUCCAGGUGGGCUUUCUUGCUCGGUUUAGGUUUAGCCCUGAAAGAGAAACAAAGAAUAAGGGAACAACAUAAGUUAUGACACAGUAUACCAGAAGCAUAUGUUCAGCUUAACUUACCCAAGGACCGUUUUCAGUGGCGGCAGCUGGGUGGCCGAUGAUUCACCAGAGGAGGAAUGAGAAGUAACCUGAUAAUCGGAGUCGGAUGGAUUAAGAGGUUGACGGAAGUAACCCGCUUUAGGAUGUAAAUUAAUAAAAAGGUCGGAGACCUCGGGGCGGCGUUUUCGAACCAGACUGUUUGGUAAACUGGCGGAGGUAACUACCUGGCCGCUGUGCCGGGUUGUGCGGCGAGCUUCGUGUUGCUGAGUCUUCAUAAGAAAUUUGGGAUCCAAGUAAGCAAGAGGAUGAGAAAAUUUAACUUUCCGGUUUGUCUGGCGAAAUUUUGGCAAAGGCAAAGGAUCUGAAUCGGAAGAGAGAAUAGUUACCUCAGCGAUAUCAGCAUUGCUGGCUUCAGCGUCGUCCUGACAAGUAUCAUCAUCAAUAAGGCGUGUAAAAAGUAAGCCUAGUGAAUCGAGUUCUACCUCAAAGUCCGAGUUACCCACAUCAUCGUCAGCGGCCGGAUCAGAUGAAGCAGUGGUUUUCCUCUUUUUAGCAGGCUUCUUCAUGACCUUGGUCUUUGGCCGGGUUGGCCGUUCUGCUUUCUCCGCUUUGUCUUGUGGAAGCUUCUUGCUCCAAAACGAAUUAUCCCCCUGAUUAAGCAGUGAUUGAUGUCAAACGGAGAUAGUAGUAACAGGUUCAAUAAAAGAAUAAUGAAAAUCUUACAGCUGGCGGUUUGUUGGUAGCGCAGAAAGGGAGCAGGCCGGUUUGAGCGCAGAGAUGCUCCGGUUCAUUCAGCAUUUUCUUCACAGACUCUGUGACUUCAUCAUCGGAGAGCUGGAUUUUGGUGUGUCGGAGUGGGUCAUCGACGCUAUCAGUGUACUUGCACAUCGAACCGGAGCGCCGGCUGAGAGGCAGUACGCUCCAUGAUAUCCAACAGUGUGCAAGGUCUAUUCCUGUUAAACCGUUGGCCAUGAAGGCUCGGAGCUUGGAUAAUUGGGGAGCAUAUUUACUUCUCUCCUUGGCACUUAAUCUUUGCGGAAAGGGGUGAGUGUUGCUGAGCCGCUCCGGACGAAAGCCAGGUAAAGGAUUUUCAUUCUCAGGAGAAGUGUCUUUGCAAUAAAACCAUGUUGCAUUCCACUCCUUGGGGUGACUGUGUAGUCUGGCGUGGGGAUAAGUGAUCUCCUUUCUUUUUUGAAUUGCCAUACCGCCCAAUUCAGUAUUGGGGCCAUCAGUGAAUUUUGUGCGGCGGUUUAAGUGGAAGCAGCCUCUAAACAAUUCAACUGAAGGCUCCUCUUGAAGGUAUACCUCCGAGAGCACUUGGAAGUGACAUAGGUUGGUAACAGAAUUGGGGCCAAUAUCUUGCGGGCGGAGCUGGAAAUUGGCUAACACAUCCCGAUAAAAUUUAGAACCGGGCGGUUUGAAGCCCCGGGCUAAAUGAUCUGCAAAGAUCACAACCUCUCCUUCUUGAGGUGUGGGAGGACAUUCAUUUCCAGGAACCCUCCAGUGGAUCGUAUCUUUGCUAUCUAAAGCGCCAAUCAAGACUAAAUCGUCCAGCUGAGUCUCUGUGACGCGAGAAGGAACCCAGUUGCACUCAUACACUUGUUUGGCCAUGGUAAGAUCUACAAGAAAUAGGUGUUUCCAAUUCAGGAAUAUGUUGGAUAAAAGAAGGUGCUGGUCUGAGAAAUGUUAAACCGGAGGCAGUACAUUUAAACUGGAUGUCUAUAAGGUGGCUUCAGCUGGCUAAAGAGUUCUGGCGGUUCAACAAGGGGACUAAUGGUAUAUGCCGGUUUAUUAACUUUUUCUGUAUUAAGUUAAACCGCCUGACCUAAACAUGGAAAGCAAUCGAAGUUGGCGGAGGGCUAAGUAUGCAGAAACAGGUUUCGCAAAGUUUUAUGGCAGCAAUGGAUCUGAAGCAAGUUCAGAAAAACAGAAAAUAUUCAAAAGGAUAAAGACAGAAUGGAAGUGAACCAACGAGUAGAUAUGUAGAUGAGAUCUAUAGACUUAAGCGUGAAACUACAGGCGGAUGCUAAAAUGCUACUGCUAAUCAAGGCAGGGGUUCACAGAUUUAUUCAGGAGUUUGGGUACGGAUAUGAACAAACGAUGAACUCGGCAAGAACAAGAAACCCUAAGAACAGAUUUAUGUCAAGAGGAACAGAAGACUUACUGGAAACGGAGAAGACGCGGGAGGAUACCGCAGGGCUCUGGUGCGUUCAGGUUGAUGCAGCGGCCCAAGACGAUGCAGAGGUCGACGGCGGCGGCGGAGCUCCGAGGCUGGCAAUGCGAGGAAGACGAAGAGAAAGAGACGAAGAGGAGAAGAAGGAAAUGACCCUUCGGUCCUAUUUAUAAGGCAACAGAUGUGGGUCAGGCGCGCGAAUCCAGGAGCCAAAAUUUCGGAAGUGGAGCCGAUGACUUGGGUAUCGCAGAUCGAUUGAUAAAAGAAGGCGUCAUAAAUGUUAGCUUCAUGAUGACGUCAUGCCGGUUUACACCAACCAGAGAUGAUGACGACAAGGCGGUUUACCAACUACCAAAAGAUAUCCAAGACAAAGAUUUUGUGAAGGAUUGACAUGAACCAGUUCAAAUCAAUCUGGGGCCUAAUGUUGGGGAUAUUACCACCGGGCGUGAACCGACCUAUCUAGGCCGGGUUAACUUCAGUAGUAGUAUAAGCAUAUGAAGGCCCAAGACCUGUAGUCGGUUUAGAGCUUGUAGCCGUAAACCGGCUUGAUAUGUAAACUUGUAUUGUAAGUUAGGAAUAGAGAGAUACCAACCGGUAUACGAGUAUGAACCGGUUGGGACUCUAUGGACCGACGGGCGUCACCCGUGUAUAUAAGGGGUCGACCCGGCGGCGGUUCAGGACAGACAACAACAACUCGAGCCUAGGCGAAGCUUGUUUGCUCCCUAGCCAUUGAAACCACAUCAAUUCCAUCACAACUAGACGUAGGCUUUUACCUUCAUCGAAGGGGCCGAACUAGUAUAAACCCCCGUGUCUUUGUGUCCGCUUUAACCCCUUCAAGUUAACCCGUAGCGAUGGCUCCACGACUAAGUCCUUCCACUAGGACAUCUGCCGUGACAAAUCCACGACAGUCCUCCUACAGAGGAUACGAAUAGACUAUCCGCUACAAAUUUCGAAGUGGAGAGCGCCAUGAAUCACAUGUGCCACCGGGCCGUACUCCGCGACCCUAGUUUCUCCGAAGAGGCGUUCAAUGCCUUUAACUCAGGAGAUGCGUACAUCCGAGCCGCUCAAGAUGGCCUUACCAGAGCCACGGACCAGUAUGUAAAGGACAUACAGGUAAGAAAUUCUGAUAAUUAUGUAUAUCAGUAGCCCCUGAGACUUGAAAUAGUUGGCGCAACCGAUUUAAGGAUCAUUGUAUGCGUAGGCUCUCACGAAGAAGAAUACCCAGUUGUCUCAAGAGCUGGAGGAGUGCAAAGCCCAGCUACGGGCCGCAGUUGCCGGAAUGGAGGAGUCCAAGAAGGCCUCGUCUGGUAAUACUUGUCUUGAUCAAAAAGAAUAUAUUGACAUAUACCAGUUAGUAUUCGACAUGCAUGCAAAUCUGACAAUAGAUUCUGCAAACAAUCCCGGAGGUAAUCUGGAGAUCGUAUCGGAGGAUGAGCAACAUGCUCAACGACAGCUAAAAGCUGGCAAGCACAUGCUUACAAAGGUUAUACGGGAGAAAAAUGAUCUUCAGGACGCGAAUACCCGGCUGGGCGUCGAAUUAAAAGAUGUUCGGGCCCAGCUUGCUGACUCCGUGAAGGAGAAUAAGAGGCUUCGACACGGCAUUUUCAAUAAGUGCUCGAACGAACCUUUAUAGAGUUCGGCGAAGAAGCGGGCUAACAGAAUUAUGUCUGUAGGUAUGCUGACAGGUCGUCCCGAAGAGGAGAUGCCCGGAUCUGCAGGCGAUCUUUUGCAAGAGCUCUCACAACUGCACGGACAAAUUCGGCAGGUGAUGCAGCAUAUUGCCCAGGCCUUGUGGCCGUCCGCCUCCCUGCCAGGAGGCAUGGGUGAGCUUGUCGAGAUGCUCAAGGGAGCACAGCGGCGCUUUCGAUUAUGGAAGAUAUCGGCCUGCUGACAAGGUGCAAGGGAAGCCUGGGCCAUGGUGAAGACGCGAUACACCAAGGCUGACCCGAACCACAUGGCCGAGGUCAGACCUGUAGGGUCAGAUGGGAAAGAGAUCCCCGUUAGUCUGGUAUAUGACCAGGUAGCAUUAGCCGCGAAGUAUUCCCAACAGGAUUGUAGGCUAGACAGCAUGUUGAAUGGUAUAGAAGAAGAAUUUAGUCAGUCUAAGUGACUUUGUACUUCAAAGGACAUAUUUUGUCCCUAGCCGGAUUGUGAAUCAUUUGUCUUGGUGGACCUUUUCGCUUCAACCUAUGGACCCAACAGUCCGGGGUGUGUCCGAAUACCCUCUCAGUUAUGUAAAAACCAGGGCACGCGUGGAAACCAGGCGUAGGGGUCAUAAGUGCUUGAACAGACAAGUACCCAACUAGCUAUGUUAUAUUACAUGGAUAGUAAGAAACAUCUUCCAGGGAGAAUAGUUCCAUUAAGGGUUCCUUUCCCUGGGUACGCAUGCACUAAUGUGCAUGUCCGAACUGCGAAAAGCGAUGCAGGAUAUAAACAUCUGGGGGCAUGUAUUGCAAUAAGUGAGAAACAUCUUUUGUUCACCGAUCGAAUAUUCCCUUAAGAACGCUAGCUUUCGGCUUUACCCAGUCUGAGGUACACAUCGGGCUGACCCGACAGUAACAAUCACAGAGGUGCUCCCCUUAUGCCCUAGCCAAAUUAACGGGAAUGUAGGGCAUAAACACAAGAGCCAGGCAACCCAGCUUGGCCAAAAGUUAAGUCAUACCGAUGCAUAUAAUGGUGAAAAAAGGUACAUAUGGAGGAAUGACGCAUAUGUGGUGGGCAUAAAGCCGAGAAGAUAAUUAUUUAAGCUUCUAUAUAAGAAGCCCACAGGUAUAUUGAGUGCGCAUAGCGCGGCAGGAGUGUGCGGUCGAAGCAUACUUGAAGUUUUUAAGGCUAUAAAAAAAGAAAGAGAGAGAGGAUAUAACUUAAAAAAGAAAAGCGGAGGUAGGGAGAUGAACACAAUGUUUGGCACUAGGUGUAGAAUCUUUGGAGUCUGGCCUUGUUCCAUGGGUUCGGCUCGAGUCGAUUAUCUGAUGCAUCACAUAGACAGUACGCUCCUCUGGUGAGAACUUUAUCAAUGAUGAAGGGACCCUCCCACUUGGGCUUGAGCUUGUCCUUUUUCUUCUCUGGUAGGCGUAGAACAAGUUCGCCAACAUUAUAAGUUUUGGCCUGUACUUCUCUGCUUUGAUACCUUCAACUCUGCUGCUGAUAGAAUGCGAAACGGGCCUUUGCUACGUCACACUCCUCCUCCAGGGCAUCUAAACAGUCCUGCCGAUCUAGUUCAGCUUCUCUCCCUUCGUACAUGCGCACUCGAGGUGAGUCAUGAAUGAUAUCGCAGGGUAGCACUGCCUCUGCGUCGUACACCAUAAAAAUGGUGUGUAUCCGGUGGUGCGAUUUGGCAUGGUCUGCAGCCCCCAUAGUACGGAGUCAAGCUCCUCGACCCAGUGCGUAUCUGAUUCCUUCAAGGAUCGCACUAGUCUAGGUUUAAUGCCGCUCAUAAUAAGACCAUUUGCUCAUUCGACUGGACCAUUUGUUUGGGGGUGAUAGAGGGAGGCAUAGUCGAGCUUAAUGCCCAUUUUGCCGCACCAAGUUUUCACCUAGUCGACUGUGAAGUUUGAGUCGUUAUCGGUGAUGAUGCUGUGGGGGACACCGUAACGGUGUACGACCCCGGAUAUAAAGUCUAUCACUGGUCCGGACUCGGCCGUUUUAACUGGUUAGGCUUCUAUCCAUUUGGUGAAUUUGUCCACCAUGACCAACAAGUAUUUCUUCUUAUGGCUUCCUCCUUUAAGGGGUCCAACCAUAUCGAGCCCCCAGACUGCAAAGGGCCAAGUGAUGGGGAUUGUUUGGAGAGCGGUAGGGGGCACAUGGCUUUGAUAUGCAAAAAGCUGGCAACCGACGCAAUGUUGGACAAGGUCCUGUGCGUCUGCCUGGGCUGUCGGCCAAUAGAAACCUGUACGGAAGGCCUUGCUUACGAGUGCCUGGGCUGCGGCAUGGUGGCCGCCGAGUCCGGCAUGAAUUUCGGCCAAGAUCUGCUGCCCUUCCUCUUCGGAGAUGCACCUUUGGAGAACUCCAGUCGCGCUUUUCUUAUAAAGCUCUCCCUCGUGGACCUUGUAGGCUUUACAGCACCGCACAAUGCAACGUGCCUCAUUUGGGUCCUCAGGGAGUUCUUGCCUAUUUAAGUAGGCUAAGAAGGGUUCAGUCCACGGGGCGAUGACAGCAAUGAUCACAUGGGCCGAAGGCGUUAUUUCGGUGGCGGAGCCUCCGAUUACGUCAGAGUGUUCGGGAUCUGGGGUUGUGUUCGGAUCCUGACUGGUAUUGCCGGUCUCCCCUUCCCACACCACGGAUGGCUUGUACAGCCUUUCAAGAAGAAAUUAGGUGGGACGGGGUCGCGCUUGGCGCCGAUGCGGGCGAGGAUAUCCACCCUUGAUUAUUUUCCCGGACCACAUGGUGGAAUUUGAGCCCCUCGAACCGAGCUGACAUUUUGAGGACGGCAUUGCGGUAAGCCGCCAUUUUUGGGUCCUUGGCGUCGAAGUCUCCAUUUAUUUGAGAUAUUGUGAGGUUCGAAUCCCCACGCACUUCUAGGCAUUGAAUGCCCAUGGAGACUGUCAUCCGAAGACCGUGCAACAGAGCCUCAUAUUCGGCUGCAUUGUUGGAGUCUGUGUAUAGUAUUUGGAGUACGUAUUGGACUGUAUCUCCGGUGGGGGAUGUCAGGACAACGCCUACCCCCAGACUAGCCAGCAUCUUAGAGCCGUCAAAGUGCAUGAUCCAAUUGGAGUAUGCGUUGUACUCUUUAGGGAGUUCGGCUUCUGUCCAUUCGACGACGAAGUUAGCCAGUACUUGUGACUUAAUGGCUCGCCGUGGUUUAUAUGUUAUGUCGAAUGAGAGGAGCUCGAUAUCCCAUUUAGCAAUCCGGCCCGUGGCAUCGCGGUUAUUUAUUAUAUCGUUGAGGGGUACUUCAGAGGCCACCAUGAUUGAACACUCUUGAAAGUAGUGUCGUAGUUUCCGGGAUGCCAUGAAGACCGCGUAUGCUAUCUUUUGAUAACGUGGGUAUCGUGACUUGCAUGGAGUGAGGACAGUGGAUACAUAGUAUACCGGCUUUUGAAGAGGGAACUUAUGUACGUCCGUCCCUCGUUCGACGACGAGCACUGCGCUUACAACCUGGUGUGUUAUAGCUAUAUAUAACAGCAUAGGUUCGCCGAUAUUUGGCGCGGCCAGGAUUGGAUUGCUGGCAAAGAGGGCCUUUAUUUCUUCCAGUCCGGCCGUAGCCGCAUCCGUCCACUCGAAGUGUUCGGUGCGUCGAAGAAGGCGAUAAAGAGGUAGUGCAUUUUCUCCUAAUCGGGAGAUAAAGCGGCUUAAGGCAGCCACACAUCCAGUUAAUUUCUGGAUUUGCUUGAGGUAUGUUGGGGUAGCCAACUACGACAGAGCUCGGAUUUUAGCCGGAUUUGCUUCAAUUCCUCUAUUGGAAACGAUGAAGCCCAAGAGCUUUCCGGCAGGUACGCCGAAAAUGCAUUUUUCGGAUUGAGCUUGAUGUCAUAUGUUCGUAGAUUGUCGAACGUAAGCCUCAAGUCGUCUAUUAAAGAUUCGACGUGUCUGGUUUUGAUAACCACAUCGUCUAUGUAUGCCUCCAUUGUUUUGCCAAUUUGUGUUUCCAGGCAUGUCUGAAUCAUGCGUUGAUAGGUUGCACCGGUGUUUUUUAGCCCGAAAGGCAUGGUGUUAGAACGUAAGGGGCCGUAUGGAGUGAUGAAUGCCAUUGCGGCUUGAUCGGACUCCACCAUAUUGAUUUGAUGGUAUCCGGAGUAUGCGUCGAGGAAGCACAAUGAGUCGUGUCCUACAGUAGCGUCAAUGAUUUGAUCGAUGCGGGGGAGUCGGAAGGGAUCCUUAGGGCAAGCCUUAUUGAGGUCCUUUAAAUCGACACAUAGGUGCCAGGAUUUGUCCUUCUUUGGUACCAUCACUAGGUUUGCUAGCCAGUCCGGAUGUUUUAUUUCUCUGAUGAAUCCGGCCUCGAGUAACUUAGCUAGCUCUUCUCCCAUGGCUUGUCGCUUAGGUUCUGAAAACCGCCGAAGAGUCUACUUGACCGGCUUGUAUCCCUUCAGUAUGUUUAGGCUAUGUUCGGCCAGCCUGCGUGGGAUACCUGGCAUGUCUGAAGGAUGCCAGGCGAAGAUGUCCCAAUUCUCACGCAAGAACUCUCGUAGUGCGGCGUCUAUUGUGGGGUUCAGCUGUGCUCCGAUGGAUGCUGUUUUUGUAGGGUCCGUUGGGUGGACCUGGAACUUGACUAUUUCGUCCGCUGGUUUGAAAGAGGUGGACUUGGGUCGUUUGUCGAGUAUCACGUCGUCCCUGUCCACUAUGGAGCACAGCGCAGUUAGUUCUUCGGCCGCGAGGGCUUCGGAUAAUGCCUCAAGGGCCAGUGCGCCGGUUUUAUUUUCGGCGCGGAGUGCUACGUCCGGAUCACUAGCUAGGAUGAUUAUUCCAUUGGGCCCGGGCAUCUUGAGCUUCAUGUACUCGUAACGGGGUAUAUCUUGAAAGCUCGUGAAUGCAUCCCUCCCUAAAAGGGCGUGGUAUCCGCUACUGAAUGGGGCCACUUAGAAUGUGAUUUCUUUGGACCUAUAAUUCUCCGGCGUGCCGAAUACCACAUCUAGUGUGAUUUUUCCCGCACAUCGUGCUUCCUGACUAGGGAUUAUUCCCCUGAAGGUCGUGCUGCUUUGCUCAAUGUGGCUCUUGUCUAUUUCCAUUUUGUUAAGAGUCUCCUUGUAGAUAAGGUUUAAUCUGCUUCCGCCAUCCAUGAGCACUUUAGUGAGCCGGAAGCCGUCCACAAUUGGACUAAGGACCAGAGCGGCUGGUGCUCGGACUGUUCGGAAUUGAGGUUCGUUGCUGGCAUUGAAGGUUAUAGCCGUGUCGUUCCAUGGAUUUAUUGCUGUGACAUGGCAGACUUCGGCGAGGCUGCAGAGUGCUCACUUGCGCCUAUUACUUGAGGCGAAAGUCUCGAAGACUGUCAGUAUUGUAUUGUUAUUUUCCGCGGGAUGGUGCUCUGCGGUAUUGUUGAUGAGGAGAUCCUCGCCGCUCUUGGCCACUUGCCGGAGUAUCCAACAUGCUCGCAGGCUGUGUGUUGGUAUGGUAUCCAGUGUACUGUGAAUUUUGCAUGGCCCAUUGAGCUAUCCCUCUAAUACGGUUCCACGCCCUGUAGUGGGCUUUGGUUUCUUUGUAAUUGGAUCGGGUGACUUGCGAGAGUGCACCCUUUUUGUUUGGACAAGGGGUUUAGUGAGAGCCGGAGGAUCCCAGAAUUUUGCUUGGGUUUUCCAGGCGCUUUCCAUCGCACAGUACUUCUGUACUAUGGCCGCCAAGUCAGCAAAGUGUACUAUGUCUCGGCGACUUAUGGCGUUGAGGAUUCCCUUGUCCGUGCAAUUUUUGCAAAAGAAUGAGAUUGCGUCUUCCUCGCGACAGUCCUUAACCUUGCUCAUUACAAGGAGGAAUCUGGCCCAGAAGUGAGUACUGUCUCUUGGGGAUCUUGUCUAAUGUGGGAAACAUCGCUCGUAUCUGGGUGGAUGGGUAGAUUUAAAUCCAAACCCUGACCCGAUCUGAGACCCAGGGGCAGAGGAGCUUCCGAGCUUGGCAUCUUGGGCUCCGGGAUGUUGCCCAAUUUUUCUGGCCCGCUGUCUGAUUCUAGGUUCGGGGCUUGGGCCAUGUCCUCCCGUAGACGGGAAUCCGGCUCGGAGAGCUCGGGAAUCCGGACAUAGUUCAUCCUCAAAAUAGAGGAAGAAUCGAUGCAUUGCUCCUCCACUACCGCUAUCUGAUGGAUGACCAGCGGAGAGUUAAUCUCCCUUUGGUCGGGUUUAAGCCUGAUCCGAUCAUAGUCCGUAGCGACUCCCAGAGCGGCGAUGCGAUCCAGGAGCUCGUUCAGGGAGGAGAGCUCCAUUGGAUCCAUCUGUUCGGUAAGUUCUGAGAUGACGUGGAGGCUGUUCUUGAUGACCUGAGAAGUCAUCGUCGGCGCAUCGGCCGAAUGGGCGAUCAUGAUGAAGCCGCCCAGCCGGAGAGUCUGGCCUACAUCCAGGGCUCCCCCAGAGGUGAUGUUGUCCUUGACAACAAGGCGAGCCAUCAAGCCUUAUCGUGAUGGCACAGUGGAACUCUCAAUGAAAGCACUAAUGUCAGCGUCAAAACCGGUGGAUCUCGGGUAGGGGGUCCCGAACUGUCCGUCUAAGGCUAAUGGUAACAGGAGGCGGGGGACACAAUGUUUACCCAGGUUCGGGCCCUCUCGAUGGAGGUAAUACCCUACUUCCUACUUGAUUGAUCUUGAUGAUAUGAGUAUUACAAGAGUUGAUCUACCACGAGAUCGUAGAGGCUAAACCCUAGAAGCUAGCCUAUGAUUAUGAUUGUUGUUGUUCUACGGACUAAACCCUCUGGUUUAUAUAGACACCGGAGGGGGAUAGGGUUAUACAGAGUCGGUUACGGAGAAGGAGAUCUACAUAUACGAAUUGCCAAGCUUGCCUUCCACGCAAAGGAGAGUCCCAUCUGGACACGGGACGAAGUCUUCAAUCUUGUAUCUUCAUAGUCUAACAGUCCGGCUGUCUGAGGACCCCCUAAUCUAGGACUCCCUCACUUGGGUCGGCACGGCCUUCAGGCGCCAGACGUCUAGUCCUAGUCGGACGUUUGCUAGCUGGAGCAUCAGGCGUUGGACGUCCGGCCUGGUCAGACGUCCAGUGGCUGGAGCUUCUUCGGUAUCUCUUCUUCUUGGCCUUCGUACUCGGUGUCCUCGUCGUCUUUUCCAUUGGAUGUAGCUGUUCCAUGGCCUUCCUCCAAGUACCUGAUCACACAUAGUGUUUCCGCUUGAGGUAGUAGCCAUGUCUCAUGUGUAGAGAGUGGGAGUUCAGAAUGGAGCGAGUUCACCUUAUCUUCGAUAGCCUUUGCUUGAGCUCUUGCCAUUGGUCCAAGUGGUGUCGUGGGAGAUGUAGAUACGUCCAUGGGGAUGAUCGUGGGAUGCUCCGCAUCAGAUAGCCCCAUGGUGGGCGCUAACUGUCAUGGUAUUGUCACAGCAUGUGUCCUCGUGAAAGGACUUAGUCGUGAGGCCAUUACCUCGAGGUAGUAGCUUGAACGGGGAUGAUCGGAAUCGAGAGACAAGGGUUUACCCAGGUUCGGCCCCUCAUGGUGAGCGGGCUUGAUUGCUUAUUAUGUGGGAUCUCGAUUACAAGGGUGCAACUUGUCUAUCCUAGUACUGGAGAGCUUGUAAAUUAGUCUUUUUGCCUCACGGGCGCCCCUUUAUAUAUAGGUCGAGACCAUGGGCUUACAACAAAGUCCGGGCCAUAAUACAAUCCGUAUCCUAAUCUGCUUUCUACCUAUCUUACCUCCCAAGCAAGGGAGUUUCCUUUGUCUGUGUUCGUGGCAGCUAGGGAGCCAGCGAUGCCUUCCUAGGCUGGGACUGCUCUUUUGUGUUGCAAGCCUGUGUGCUCUAAUGCUUAGGCCUUGGCCUUGUAACUUGCCCGCUUCCUGGCUUUGAACCCUCCAGACUCUUUAUCUUGUUGCGCCUUGGGCUUUUGGUUUGUGUAAUGUUCGAUCGGUUGCUACUCUGCAUGUCCUAUGGGCUUUAUUAAUUUAAAGCUGGACGCUCCUAGCAUCUUCAUUCUAAAAAAAGUUUCCUUUUUCUCUUAACUGAGUCAAGUCGCCACCAUGUAACGAACCUUUUUUCCUUAAGUCGCCACCGGAUAACCUGGCCCUGAACGAGCGGGUCAUACUGUGGGGUUAUAUCCCCAACACCGGAGGUCACGAACAUCAAGUGCAAGACGAGGAGAUGAGUGGCCGGGCAACACAGCCGAAGUUGAUAUGUCGCAGUCUUGGAUCCCCCAUGGCGUAGUGAGAACCCAAAAGGCAUGUCCACUUCAUUGGAACCAUUAGCCGCCAAACGUCGUCACACUCUACCAGGAACAUCGCCUAGCUGUGCUAGCCGACCAUGGCCGUUGCCCACCAAGACUCACAGUGUGCCAGGAAGUCACCUCCGGUCGCUGAAGCCAGAGCAAAUGAUCCUCGCCACCACCGUCCGCCGUACCGGCAUUGCCUGGCGGCGUCCUCCGAUGGCAGCGAGGGGCCUGGUUAGUGAGAGGAGAUAGGUGGUGUGACAUCCCAAUUUUCAAUUUGGAUGUUAUCCAUAGAUCAUCAUAUGCGUAUCAUAUUUUAUUUUGCAUUUUUUUGUGAUCCUAGAAAUCUUAAGCAACUCAAGGACCCAAGGAGAGAGUUGGAGGUUUCACAAAAUUCAUAUUUGAAUUUUUUUUUCAAAUUUGAAAGGAUCAAUUUGAUUUUCAAUAUUUUCUUUCCAAUGCUUUCCAAUAAUAAAAAUAAAUGAGAGAAGAUAAUAUGACUUCUUCAACAGAAGAGAAAUAUUGGAAAAGAAAUGUUGAAAUCAAAUUAUUAUUUUAUUUGAAUUUUUAUUUUAUUUGAAUUAGAGAAACACUUGCAUUUUUGAAAAUUGCAUUUUAGUCCAUAAAAAUGAUCAUCUUGUCCUAAAUAUUAGGUUUGGACAGUGAAAAUUGUUUCUUGAAUUUUUAGAUUUUUUUAUAGUUUAUUAAGAUUUUUCUUCGCGGUGAAAUUAUUUAAAAAAAAAGUUUUACACCGAACUAGGCCGAAGGCUCAGCCAGCCCACUCGCCCGCGCCGCCUUCCCCGCGCCGCACGCUAUGCCGCCGCCAGACUCGCGAAGGAGUCCGAUGACGCACCGCCGCCCGACCCCGCUCCAAGUAGGAGGAGCCCCGGGGCCCCUUUAUAAGGGAGCCGACCCAGCCCCUCCCCUCCUCAAAGCCGCCGCCGCCCCGCACAUCGCCCGCCGCCGCCGCAGCUCACCUCCGCCGCCCGCACCACCAUCUAAAGCCGCCUAGCGCCGCCUCCGGUCUUUUUCGUUUAGCCGGUAAAAAUCGCCUGUUCGCCAGUUUUUGUGUUCGCUUGUUACUAUGAAUCUCUAGAGUUUGCAGAUCGUUAGCAAGGCAAGUUAUACUUUGAUCAUAUUCUUCUAUACCUAGUUUUUACUAUGCAUUAGUUUUGCCCCUCAAAUAUUUGCAUGAGUAGGAUUGGGAACAUGUGGUUUGGCUGUAGUACUUGAGGUAGGAACCUAAUACCUUUUGAUCACCCCGGGAAUAUACGUUAUGCUCUAUUAUUGCUUAGCCAUGCUCGUAGAUGGGGAUUGGGUCGUGAUACACAUGGAAGUUAUGAGAGUUAUUAAUCUUGGAUAACUUUAAGGUGGCAACUUUAAUACACAUCUGGGUGGAUUGGUUGGGGCACCUAGAGAAUCUAGUGUUUGUCCAUUAGGGAAAUCCCGGAGUACCCUUGUGAUUUUUCCUCGGUUCGCCACCCAGGCUCAAAGGGAUCAUAUGAUAUUUCAUGCCUAGAAACUUCCGUGUGCAGCCACAAGCCAUUAUGGGCUCUAGCGUAGUUGAGUAAGUUGUAUGAGCUCUCGAAGAGGUGGACUAGCAGAUGUAGGGGAAAGUAGGUGUACCGGUUGAUGUCUACUACACAACCUCCUUCUUGUAGACGUUGUUGGGCCUCCAAGUGCAGAGGUUUGUAGGACAGUAGCAAAUUUCCCUCAAGUGGAUGACCUAAGGUUUAUCAAUCCGUGGGAGGCGUAGGAUGAAGAUGGUCUCUCUCAAGCAACCCUGCAACCAAAUAAUAAAGAGUCUCUUGUGUCCCUAACACACCCAAUACAAUGGUAAAUUGCAUAGGUGCACUAGUUCGGCAAAGAAAUGGUGAUACAAGUGCAAUAUAGAUGGUAGAUAUAGGUUUUUGUAAUCUGAAAAUAUAAAAACAGCAAAUAACUAAUGAUAGAAGUGAGCGUAAACGGUAUUGCAAUGGUAGGAAACAAGGCCUAGGGUUCAUGCUUUCACUAGUGCAAGUUUUCUCAACAAUAAUAACAUAAUUGGAUCAUAUAACUAUCCCCCAACAUGCAACAAAGAGUCACUCCAAAGAAACCACCUCAAAGUUAUCCUUUCUGAUCGAUCUAUUCAAGAGUCCGUAAUAAAAUAACACAAAGCUAUUCUUCCGUUUGAUCUAUCACCGAGUUCAUACUAGAAUAACACCUUAAGACACAAUCAACCAAAACCCUAAUGUCACCUAGAUACUCCAAUGUCACCUCAAGUAUCCGUGGGCAUGAUUAUACGAUAUGCAUCACACAAUCUCAGAUUCAUCUAUUCAACCAACACAAAGUACUUCAAAGAGUGCCCCAAAGUUUCUGCCGGAGAGUCAAGACGAAAACGUGUGCCAACCCCUAUGCAUAAGUUCAUUGAACCCGAAAGUUGAUCACCAAAACAUACAUCAAGUAGAUCACAUGAAUAUCCCAUUGCCACCACAGAUAAGCACGGCAAGACAUACAUCAAGUGUUCUCAAAUCCUUAAAGACUCAAUCCGACAAGACAACUUCAAGGGGAAAACUCAAUCAAUUACAAGAGAGUAGAGGGGAGAAACAUCAUAAGAUCCAACUAUAAUAGCAAAGCUCGCGAUACAUCAAGAUUGUGCCAAAUCAAGAACACGAGAGAGAGAGAGAGAGAGAGAGAGAGAGAUCAAACACAUAGCUACUGUUACAUACCCUCAGGCCCGAGGGUGAACUACUCCCUCCUCGUCACGGAGAGCGCCGGGAUGAUGAAGAUGGCCACCGGUGAUGGAUUCCCCCUCCGGCAGGGUGCCGAAACAGGCUCCCAAGAGGUGUUUGGUGGCUACAGAGUCUUGCGGUGGCGGAACUCCCGAUCUAUGGUGCUCCCCGAUGUUUUUAGGGUAUAUGGAUAUAUAUAGGCGAAAGAAGUCGGUCAGGGGAGCCACGAGGAGCCCACGAGGGUGGGGGCGCGCCUCCCUGCCUCGUGGUCACCUCAAAGCUUCCCUGACGUCUACUCCAAGUCUCCUGGAUUGCUUUCGUUCCAAAAAUAACUCUCGCAAAGGUUUCAUUCCGUUUGGACUCCGUUUGAUAUUCAUUUUCUUCGAAACACUGAAAUAGGCAAGAAAACAACAAUUUGGGCUAGGCCUCCGGUUAAUAGGUUAGUCCCAAAAAUGAUAUAGAAGUGUUUAGUAAGGCCCAUAAACAUCCAAAAUAGAUAAUAUAAUAGCAUGAAUACUUCAUAAAUUAUAGAUACGUUGGAGACGUAUCACCGGUCUGCCCGGAGUAGAGAGUUAAUGCUUUAGAAAGACUAUGUCUCGAUCUUCCGAUCAUGGAUGUGGUCGAGUCUUGUGGGGAAAAGUGCGCAACCUCUGCAGAGUGUAUAAACUAAUCAUGGUUAGCCAUGUCCCCGGUUAUGGACAUCUUGAGUAUCUAGAAUUGGAUAUUACUAUUGAUCUCAUCACUUUUAAUUAAUUGAAUUGGGUUUAAUAAUGAUACUUGUUUAAUUGGGAUUUGAGUUGGAGGAACCUUCUCAAAUAUUGGAACAACUUGGGAGUAGUUUAAAUAAAAUUUAUUCCUUUGUUGUAGGGAAAAACUAGCUUUAUGCAAAAUCAUAAAUUUAGAGCCUCCACCAGCCAAAUAUUGCAUGUAGAUAUAGUUCUUGCAUUCAUUGCUUUACAGUGCAACUCUGCCAGCAUAUUCAAUGUGCUGACCUACAUGGCUGCAACAUCUCAUGUUGCAGACUUCUCAGACGACGAAUAAGGUUUGAUAGGUCGUUGUCUUGCACUCAGCUAUGUCGUUGGAGUCGAUGGACUCAUUUACCUUCGAGGCUUCCAUAGUUAUUUAGUUUAGAUGGCCUUCAGCCAUACUAUUUUUGUGUAAUCAUACUCUUUAUGAGGACUCGAUGUAAUGAGUGUGUGAUUGAAUUCUGUUAUAAUUCCUCGAGUACUGUGUGUCAGCAUUACCGAUCCAGGGAUAACACUUAAGCACAGAGACUUCGGUCCAUUGGGAUCGUGAUCACUACAAGAUUGUAUUAGAGCACAUGUUGACUGUAGGAUGCGACCACUAGGAAAAGCCACAGGAUACUCUUCUUUGCUCAUUUCUAAUUCUCCUCUAUUUCUACUCUAUAGAUGGCGGACCCCAGGAACAAGUUCACUCAGCUGGAUGAUGACACCCCUUUCGGACGACACUUGAAGGAAGUCACUAAGUACUUGAACAUCGGACUACCAAACUUAACUAGGACUUUCUCUGCAACUUUAUCGGAAUAGGGGCGCUAGAAGAUCAAAGUCUGGGUACCUGGGAGGACAUUUGCGCCAACAACGGAGCCUAUUGAUUUCUACCUGGAUGCACCAAGUUGGAGUUUGGGAAAGAGCAUGGUAGCGCACAUCACUUUUGGACGCAUAUGUGAAGUGUACCACAAGGAGCUGGAAAACACCAUUUAUCAAAUAUGUGGCCGUCGAGACGAAGAAUGGGAGAUGAUUCCAACCAGGAAGGAUGGAUCAAUUGCAGCUUACAUUCAGGAGAUGGGUGAUCACAUUCGCCGACAAGAGAAUCAACUAUGUUUCAACAUGAAGAAGAUCAAGAAGCUGAUGAAGAAGAAUAUUGAGCUAGAAGAGGAACUCAAGUCUACACGCGAUGGAUAUGAGGAAGAAACUGCCGUACUACUAGAGAAGCAUGAAGAUUUGACGAGGAAGCUAGGACUACCCGUGGAGAACCAUAAGCGAGAACCUGCAAAGGAGAUCCAUUCGGCGGACUACAUCAUCUUGGACGACACCGACACGGAUAGUGAUGCAAAUGAUGACAGUGAUGACAACUUCGUUGACGAAGCUGGAGCAGAUAUCAUGGAGUCUUCCUCCGAUCAAAAUUUCUAGACGACCACCAUGUUACUAGUAGUAUUCUUCCAAGUAGUUAGCAUCGAUCGAGUUUGUAAUCGUAGUUUAGAUCUUUUGUGUGAACCUUGUUUGAUAUUGAAUGAAGUGAAUUGAUUGUGUUUGUGUCAUGUGCAUAUGGGUAGUGAAUCUCUCUUAGACCUUAUUCUAUUUUGUUUUCUCACCCCUUCUAACCCAUCAGAUGCCUCCGAGACAUGACAAUGGAUUCAUGUUCCCACCAGAGCUUACCCAGUUGAUCCAGCAGCAGAAUGCCUUGAUGCAGAUGUUAGUUCAGAACCAGAACCAAGGCAACAACAACUACUACUACAACCCACCACCACCACUACCCCGUGUUGACAACCUAGCCCGCUUUAUGAGGUUCAAUCCGCCGGUGUUCUCUAGCAGCACCGAGCCGAUUGUUGCAGAUGAUUGGCUCCACAAGAUUUGAAGGGAGUUGAUCACUGCAGGAUGCACAGAUACGGAGAGAGUGCGCUUUUACGCACAUCAGCUUGAUGGACCCGCAACUUCUUGGUGGGAGAAUUUCACCACCACUUACCCCAUUGAUACAGUUACAUGGGAUCAGUUUCGGCAGGCUUUCUGCACCGCCCAUGUUUCAGCAGGAGCUAUGAGCAUGAAGAAGCACGAGUUUCGCAACUUGCUCCAAGGAGGUCGUAUAGUGGGACAGUAUGUGGAUGAGUUUAGCAAGUUAGCACGCUAUGCCCCAGAUGAUGUGGCCACAGAUGCCGCGAAGCAGGAGAAGUUUCUUGAGGGACUCGUUGAUUAGCUGAGCAUGCAGUUGAUGGUGGCAACUUUCAACAACUACCAGGAGGUGGUAGACAAGGCACUCAUGAUAGAAGGCAAGAAGCAACAGAUUGACAACCGCAAGAGGAAGUAUGGACAGGGGAGUUACACUUCUGGAGCUCAGCAGAAGCCCCGCUAUUCCCCGUACUCGGGAGGACAUACUCACAACCAUGGAUGCCAUAGCCAUGGAGGACAUUUGCACAAUGGAGAAAGUUCGCACAACCAAAGUGGCCCUAAGAAUGGCAAUGGGAAUGGAGGAAGAAACGGUCAAAGCCAUACCAACCCCGCAACACUAGCAAGAGGGAUCUGAGCCACAUUACUUGUUUCAUAUGCGGGAAGACCGUACAUUACGCCACUGAAUGUCCUGAAGCAAAGAAUGGAAAUGGCAAUGGAGGUCAUGCAAAGAAGCCCAACCCCUUCACCAAAGGUCAGGUGAACCACGUCAGUGUGGAGGAGAUUGAGGAUCAACCUGACGCAGUUGUCAGUAAGUUUUUGAUUAAUGCAUUUACAGCACUUGUUCUUUUCGAUACUGGUGCAUCUCAUUCAUUCAUAUCAAGGGGAUUUGUGGAUAAGUAUAAGUUGCCAACAGUAGCCCUUAAGUCACCUAUGUUAGUAAGUUCCCUAGGAGUGGAGUAUAUGGCUAGUAGGGGAUGCUAUCAGUUGCCAGUAACCAUAGGUAGACAUGUUUUCCCCACCGACCUGAUUGUCCUGGUGUCACAAGGAUUGGAUGUGAUACUAGGCAUGGAUUGGCUAUCCAAGUAUGAGGGAAACAUCGAUUGCGCCAGUAAAUCAAUUCUUCUCACCACCCCGGAAAGAAGAAGGAUCAAGUAUGUGUCUAGGCAUGCGCCGAGGAGGACUCAGGUAAAUUCCUUAUCGGGAGUUGUUCAGGAGGAAGUACCAGUGGUGAAGGAUUACCCCGAUGUAUUUCCAGAGGAGUUACCAGGCAUGCCACCGGAUCGAGACAUUGAGUUUUUGAUUGAGUUAUUGCCAGGCACCGGACCAAUUUCCAAGAGACCGUAUCGAUGCCCACUAAUAAUUUGGAGGAAAUUAAGAAGCAGAUUAAGGAGUUACUGGAGAAAGGUUACAUUCGACCAAGUUCAUCACCUUGGGGAGCCCCGGUGCUUCUAGUUGAGAAUAAGGAUGGAUCAUUAAGGAUGGUUGUUGAUUAUCGUGCGCUGAAUGAGGUGACGGUCAAGAACAAAUACCCUUUGUCGAUGAUCAAUGAUUUGUUUGACCAACUGCAAGGAGCUAAAGUUUUCUCCAAGAUCGAUCUUUGAUCAGGUUAUCACCGGUUGAAGAUCCGAGAGCAGGAUAUACCUAAGACAGCUUUUACCACAAGGUAUGGGCUAUAUGAGUAUAUAGUUAUGUCAUUUGGUUUGACUAAUGCCCCUGCCUAUUUCAUGAGUAUGCUGAACAAGGUGUUCAUGGAGUUUCUGGAUAAGUUUGCCGUGGUGUUCAUUGAUGACAUUUUGGUGUACUCGAAGAAUGAAGAGGAACAUAAGGAACAUUUGCGUUUGGUUCUUGAGAAUCUCAAGAAACAUCAGUUGUAUGCCAAGUUCAGCAAAUGUGAAUUUUGGUUGAAGAAAGUUGGAUUUCUUGGACAUGUUAUAUUCGGAGAAGGAAUAGAAGUAGACCCUACCAAGGUUGCUUCUGUCACUAAAUGGUUGGCACCCACCUCAGUGGGAGAGAUCAGAAGUUUUCUUGGACUCGCAGGUUAUUAUCGGAGAUUUAUUGAGAAUUUUUCCAAGAUUGCGAAGCCCAUGACGGAGUUAUUGAAGACGGACACCAAGUUUAAAUGGACUGAGGAUUGUGAGGCCAGUUUUCAGGAGUUGAAGAAGCGUUUGGUUACAGCCCUAGUGUUGAUUCUCCCAGACAUACGCAACAAUUUCCAAGUGUAUUGUGACGCUUCACGUCGAGGACUUGGAGGAGUGCUUAUGCAGGACGGGAGAGUUGUUUCAUAUGCCUCACAACAACUUCGACCUCAUGAGUUGAAUUAUGUUAUGCAUGAUUUGGAGUUAGCAGUUGUGGUGCACGCGCUCAAGACAUGGAGACAUUUUCUUAUCAAAAACUGUUGUGAUGUUUACACAGAUCAUAAGAGUUUGAAAUACAUCUUCACGCAGAAGGAGUUAAACCUUAGGCAAAGGAGAUGGUUGGAACUCAUAAAGGAUUAUGAUAUGAGAUUGCAUUAUCAUCCAGGAAAGGCCAAUGUCGUAGCAGAUGCAUUGAGCCGCAAGAGUUAUGUUAACACGCUCAUAAACGGAGGAUUACCUAAGGAGUUAGCAGACGACCUUCGGGACCUAUGCUUGGAGAUAGUUCUGAGAGGUUAUGUUGCAGCAUUGGAAAUUCAGUCCACUUUCUUGGAUAAAAUUAGAGAAGCCCAGAAGACGGACAAGGAGAUUGCUGAGAUACAUGAAAGGAUGAGUAAAGGAAAGGCUAAAUGAUUUCGUGAGGAUGAGCCCGACACCUUAUGGUUUGAGGAUCGUAUUUAUGUGCCUAAUGACCCUCAUAUCAGGAAGUUGAUUCUUCAGGAGGCUCACGAUUCGCCUUACUCGAUUCACCCAGGCAACACUAAAAUGUAUCUGGAUUUGAAGGAAAGUUUCAGGUGGACAGGAAUGAAGAAGGAUAUUACCGAGUAUGUAGCAGUAUGUGAUGUAUGUCAGAGAGUGAAGGCAGAGCAUCAGAAACCAGCAUGAUUGCUAUAGUCGUUACCGAUACCCGAAUGGAAGUGGGAUAAACUUGGCAUGGAUUUUAUCACUGGAUUACCCAGGACUUGUUCAGGCUAUUAUUCUAUUUGGGUUUUAGUUGAUCGCUUGACGAAGGUAGCCCAUUUCAUCCCUGUGAAGACAACUUAUACGAGUGCUAAGUUGGCAAAGAUAUACAUGACCAGGAUCGUAUGUCUGCAUGGAGUUCCGAGGACCAUUGUAUGAGAUAGAGGAACACAGUUUACUUCAAAGUUUUGGAAUCAGUUGCAUGAAACUUUGGGUACCAGGGUAGAGUUCAGUACAGCCUUUCAUCCACAGACAGAUGGACAGACCGAGAGAGUCAAUCAGAUUCUGGAGGACAUGUUGAGAGCUUGUGCGCUAGAUUAUGGAUCUAGUUGGGAUGACAAUUUGCCCUAUGCAGAGUUCUCCUAUAACAAUAGUUAUCAAGCCAGUUUGAAGAUGGCCCCUUUUGAAGCUUUGUACGGAAGGAGGUGCAGGACACCAUUAUCGUGGGAUGAAGUUGGAGAUCGAUAGUUGUUCAGAACAGAUUUAAUCAGAGAGUCUGAGGAGAAGGUUAAGUUGAUUCGAGACCGACUCAAGGUAGCCCAAUCCAGGUAGAAGAGUUAUGCGGAUACUAAAUGCAAGGAGGUAGCCUACGAAGUCGGAGGCAGAGCAUAUCUUCGUGUGUCCCCACUUCGAGGAGUUAAAUGUUUUGGAGUCAAGGGAAAGCUAGCACCACAUUUUGUGGGACCAUAUAGAGUUUUGGAACGCAUGGGAGAAGUUGCGUACAAGUUGGAACUGCCCGAAGGAUUGUCAGGAGUUCAUGAUGUGUUUCACGUUUCCCAAUUGAAGAAGUGCCACACAGAGAUGGCCGACAUUCCUUUGAGAGAUACAGUGCCACUGGAAGCAAUUCAGGUGGAUAGUGAUCUGACCUAUGAAGAGAAGCCAGUCAAGAUUCUCGAGUUUUCCAGUCGAGUUACUCGCAGCAAGGUGAUCAAGUUUUGCAAAGUUCAGCGGAGCCACCAUACCGAGGAGGAAGCCACCUGGGAGCGAGAAGAAGAUCUUCGCGAACCACCCAAAACUUUUUGCUAACCAACCCGAAUCUCGAGGGCAAGAUUCAUCUUAACGGGGGUAGGUUUGUAACAUCCCAAUUUUCAAUUUGGAUGUUAUACAUAGAUCAUCAUAUGCAUAUUAUAUUUUAUUUUGCAUUUUGUUGUGAUCCUAGAAAUCUUAAGCAACUCAAGGACCCAAGGAGAGAGUUGGAGGUUUCACAAAAUUCAUAUUUGAUUUUUUUUUCAAAUUUGAAAGGAUCAAUUUGAUUUUCAAUAUUUUCUUUCCAAUUAUUUCCAAUAAUAAAAAUAAAUGAGAGAAGAUAAUAUGGCUUCUUCAACAGAAGAGAAAUAUUAGAAAAUAAAUGUUGAACUUAAAUUAUUAUUUUAUUUGAAUUUUAUUUGUUAUUUUAUUUGAAUUAGAGAAAAACUUGCAUUUUCAAAAAUUGUAUUUUAGUCCAGAAAAAUGUUUAUCUUGUCCUAAAUAUUAGGUUUGGACGGUGAAAAUUGUUUCUGGAAUUUUUAGAAUAUUUUUAUAUUUUAUUAGGAUUUUUCUUCGCGGUGAAAUUAUUUAAAAAAAGUUUCAGACCGAACUGGGCCGAAGGUUCAGCCGGCCCACUCGCCCGCGUCGCCUUCCUCGCGCCGCAUGCUGUGCUGCCGCCGGACUCACGAAUGAGUCCGAUGCCGCGUCGCCGCCCGACGCCGCUCCAAGUCGGAGGAGCCCCGAGGCCCCUUUAUAAGGGAGCCGACCCGGCCCCUCCUCUCCUCAAAGCCGCCGCCGCCGCCCCGCACAUCGCUCGCCGCCGCUGCAGCUCACAUCCACCGCUCGCGCCGCCUCCUAGAGCCGCCGCCAUCGCCGCUUAGCGCCGCCGCCCCGUGCUGCUAGCUGCUGCUGCCGCUGCCGCCACCUCGCGCCGCCGCCCGCGUCACCGCCGCCUCGUUUCGCCACCGGAGCCGAGCCCCGCCUUGCCGGAUCUUGCCACCGCCGGUCAUUUCCAUUUAGCCGGUAAAAACCGCCGGUUCACCGGUUUUUGUGUUCGGUUUUUUUAGUUUCGGUUAUUAGCCAUUAGAUCGGUUUUUUAGAUAGUUCAUCAGAUUACGAACGUUCACCCAUUUGUUCUUCUUAAUGAAUGAAUUCAUUCAUUUAGUUCUGUUAGCGAACAUUCGUUUUGUAGAUUUUUCUUUUUAGUUUUAUUUUUCUGCUAGGGACUUAUUUGCGAAUAAGUUUUUUCGCGAUUUAGCCCCUAAUCUUAAAACUAGCGUAACAUUUAGCUUGUUUAUCCAAAUUAGAUGAAACCAACGCCUAGAUCUUCGUAACAAUCUCUUCUUUCCAGUAAAACAAAUUGAACAUGAUUUUGACAAUUUAAAGUUUGAGUUUAGUUCAGAUUAGUAAUCGAUCUUGUUUUGUUCAUAUCUUGAGUUUCGUAGUUCCGUUUGAGUUGUUAUUUUUUGCAAAUCGUAGCUAAUCGCAUGUAUCGACUGUUAAGAUCUAAUCCACAUGAAAAUAAUGAUGUUAGGUUUUGUUUUCUGUUUAGUUUAGAUGUUUGCUUGUUUCAAGUUUGAUUUGGAUCUUUUCUCGUUUUUCUCUUUGUUUCGCUUGAGUGAUUGCUUAUGUAUGCUACUGUUUGUCUAUGCUAGAUUAACCAGAGCGUGAAGCUUGUUACUACAAAUCUCUAGAGUUUGCAGAUCAUCCACAAGGCAAGUUGCACUUUGAUCAUAUUCUUCUAUACCUAAUUUUUACUAUGCAUUAGUUUUGCCCCUCAAAUUUUUGCAUGAGUAGGAUUGGGAACAUGUGAUUUGAUUGUAGUACUUGAGGUAGGAACCUAAUACCUUUUGAUCACCCCGGGAAUAUACGUUAUGCUCUAUUAUUGCUUAGUAAUGCUCGUAGACGGGGAUUGGAUCGUGAUACACACGGAAGUUAUGAGAGCUAUUAAUCUUGGAUAACUUUAAGGUGGCAACUUUAAUACACAUCUGGGUGGAUUGGUUGGGGCACCUGGAGAAUCCAGUGUUUGUCCAUUAGGGAAAUUCUGGAGUACCCGUGUGAUUUUUCCUCGGUUCGGCACCCAGGCUCAAAGGGAUCAUAUGAUAUUUCAUGCCUAGAAACUUCCGUGUGCAGCCACAAGCCAUUAUGGGCUCUGGCAUAGUUGAGUAAGUUGUAUGAGCUCUCGAAGAGGUGGACUAGCAGAUGUAGGGGAAAGUAGGUGUACCGGUCCGCCCGGAGUAGAGUAUUAAUGCUUCAAAAAGACUAUGUCUCGAUCUUCCGAUCAUGUAUAUUGUCGAGUCUUGUGGGGAAAAGUGCGCAACCUCUGCAAAGUGUAUAAACUAAUCAUUGUUAGCUGUGUCCCCGGUUAUGGACAUCUUGAGUAUCUGGAAUUGGAUAUUACUAUUGAUCUCAUCACUUUUAAUUAAUUGAAUUGGUUUAAUGAUGAUACUAGUUUAAUUGAGAUUUGAGUUGGAGGAACCUUCUCAAAUAUUAGAACAACUUGGGAGUAGUUUAAAUAAAAUUUAUUCCUUUGUUGUAGGGAAAAACUAGCUUUAUGCAAAAUCAUAAAUUUAGAGCUUCCACUAGCCAAAUAUUGCAUGUAGAUAUAGUUCUUGCAUUCAUUGCUUUACAGUGUAACUCUGCCAGCAUAUUCAAUGUGCUGACCUACACGGCUGCAACGUCUCAUGUUGCAGACUUCUUAGACGACAAAUAAGGUGCGAUAGGUCGUUGUCUUGCACUCAGCUAUGUCGUUGGAGUUGAUGGACUCAUUUACCUUCGAGGCUUCCGCGGUUAUUUAGUUUAGAUGGCCUUCAGCCAUACUAUUUUUGUGUAAUCAUACUCUUUGUCAUGACUCGAUAUAAUAAGUGUGUGAUUGAAUUCUGUUAUAAUUCCUCGAGUACUGUGUGCGUCAGCGUUACCGAUCCAGGGAUGACACUUAAGCACAGAGACAUCGGUCCAUUGGGAUCGUGGUCGCAACAGGUGGUUGUAGAUCGGGAGUCGCCCUAGAACGAGCGACUUAACAUUAAUUGCGUAACAAAAUCAUGCUAUUUUACAACUAUUAUUUGUUAGAUUAAGGCUGUAGACUCUCACGUCCGGUGGCUGGAGCUUCUUCGGUAGCUCUUCUUCUUGUCCUUCGUACUCGGUGUCCUCGUCGUCUUGUCCAUUGGAUGUAGCUGUUCCAUGGCCUUCCUCCAAGUACCUGAUCACACAUAGUGUUUUCGCUUGAGGUAGUAGCCAUGUCUCAUGUGUAGAGAGUGGGAGUUCUGAGAGGAGCGAGUUCACCUUAUCUUCGAUAUCCUUUGCUUGAGCUCUUGUCAAUGGUCCAAGUGGUGUCGUGGGAGAUGUAGAUACGUCCAUGGGGAUGAUCGUGGGAUGCUCCACAUCAGAUAGGCCCACGGUGGGCGCCAACUAUCGUGGUUUUGUCACGGCAUGUGUCCUCGUGAAAGAACUUAGUCGUGGGGCCAUCGCCGUGAGGUAGUAGUUUGAACGGGGUUGAUCGGAAUCGAGAGACAAGGGUUUACCCAGGUUCGGCCCCUCAUGAUGGAGGUAAAAGCCUACUCCUACUUGAUUGAUUAUGAUGUGGGAUCUCAAUUACAAGGGUGCAACUUGGCUAUCCUAGUACUCGACAGCUUGUAACUUAGUCUUUCUGCCUUAGGGGCUCCCCUUUAUAUAUAGGUCGAGACCCUGGGCUUACAGCAGAGUCCGGGUCAUAAUACAACCCGUAUCCUAAUCUGCUUUCUACUUAUCUUACCUCACAAGCAAGGGAGUUUCCUUUGUCUGUGUUCGUGGCGGCUAGGGAGCCGACGAUGCCUGCCUAGGAUGGGAGUGCUCUUUUGUGUUGCGAGCCUGCGCGCUCUAAUGCUUAGGCCUUGGCCAUGUAACUUGCUCGCUGCCUGGCUUUGAACCCUCCAUACUCUUUAUCUCGUUGCACCUUGGGCUUUUGGUUUGUGUAAUGUUCGAUCGGUUGCUACUCUGCCUGUCGUGUGGGCUUUAUUAAUUUAAAGCCGGACGCUCCUAGAGUCUUCAUUCUAAAAAAAGUUUCCUUUGUCUCUUAACCGAGUAGGUGUCCAAACAUUGGGCCGUGAGCCGGCCCGCCGCACGAGUCGCCACCUGGGCCCUAAGCUUCGCGGUUAUCGCGGGCCAUGUAACGAACCUUUUUUCCUCAAGUCGCCACUGGAUAACCCGGCCCUGAACAGGCGGGUCAUACUGUGGGGUUAUGUCCCCAACACCGGAGGUCACCAACAUCGGGUGCAAGACGAGGAGGCGAGUGGCCGGACAACACAGCCGAAGUCGAUAUGUCGCUGUCUCGGAUCCCCCAUGGCGCAGUGAGAACCCAGAAGGCAUGUCCGCUUCGUUGGAACCAUUAGCCACCAAACGCUGUCACACUCUGCCAGGAACAUCGCCUAGCCGUGCAGUCGACCAUGGCAGUUGCCCACCAAGACUCGCCGUGCGCCACGAAGUCAUCUCCGGCCGUUGCAGCCGGAGCAGAUUAUCCUCGCCACCAUCGUCCGUCGUACCGGCAUUGCCUGGCGGCGUCCUCCGAUGGCGGCGAGGGGCCUGGUUGGUGAGAGGAGAUCGAUGGUUGUAGAUCGGGAGUCGCCCUAGAACGAGCGACUUAACAUUAAUUACAUAACAAUCAUGCUAUUUUACAACUAUUAUUUGUUAGAUUAAGGUCGUGGACUCUCACGAUUUCCAUCCUAGUGUCUGGCCGCCGGCGAUGGAGCUUGUGGCGGCCCAAACGCAGCCAGGGAGGAGGGGGAGCGCGCACGUGAAGGCUCUAGGUAGGGGAUGGAUCUGGCCAUGGCGGCCGACGAGGGAGCGCCUGCCCGCCGGCGAUGGAGCUCAUAGUGGCCCAGUUGCUGCCGUGGGGGAGGGGGAGGGAGGGGGAAGGUUGCGUGUGAGUAAGGCUGAAGGUAGCGGAUGAAGGCGCUCGAAUGAGGCGGGGCGCGCUUUGCCAGCGUGGCAUGUGAACCGGCCGAAAGUUCGGCCGGCGCACCGCGCCCAAACAUUUACCUUAGAUUAAGGCCGUAGACUCACGAUUUCCAUCCUACUCCUUCCAUUCCAAUGAAUGAGGCAUGCAUGCUUUCCAAAAUUUAAUUUUGACCGUAAAUUAUAUCAUUGAAAACUUUUUUUAAUGUAAAUUCAAUGGUAUAAUUUUUACCACAUAUAAAUCCAUAUUUGGUUAGUCUAAUUUAUGGUCGAAGAUAACAUUUGAGAUGUGUGGACACCUUGUUCAUCGAAAUGAAGAGAGUAAUAGUGUAUAUGUUGCAGGGCGUCCAACAGAGGACUCAAGAAAUGCAGCUGCAUCACUUUCGAUGCUAGUGUAGUAGAAAUUUGGAAUGGGUGAAGCGCGCAAAUCUUUGAAAGUGUUUUAGUUUUUCCAUCGAUCAUCACCGUCACCGUAAAAUACGAGACAAUGAAUUGGCAAAGAGGCGGGUAAAACUUUUUGGUUCAGUCGUACAAGGAGAGAGUAGUUUAUUUUCCCCUUGUAACAUUCUUCUCUAUAAAUCAGAUGGACAUAUUUUUGCGUCCGUAUUAGAAACAAGAAAAAACAUAGUCCAGCUUAGUUGAAUCCUGAUUUGUCGUCUUUGUGAUAUAGUAAUAGUGUAUGACUUUGACACGAUGUAGAGAUAAAUAAAGGGUUCAAGGUUAACGGAGCAACCGAAGAUGUACGUGCAUCUUUGUGGUAUUUUAGAUUCGUUAGGUUAGUACUAAAGUUGGUCAUACGAUCCUGAUAUUAGUGUAGGAUUAUUCUGGACAGAAGAUUUGUCCAGCCCGAGCGCAUCCAUCGGAACGUUCAUUCACGUGCCCUGGUUCUAUCCGAGCGGGUGGUUUGUGCUUGUGCGGUGAAGGCCCGCAAGGCGAGUUGAUUCCAGUCAUGUCGGCACUCUCCCUCACGAGACGCGUGGCACGUCGUCGGGGAGAUGAGAUGAUGAAACCUGGCACCGGUAGAAUCUAAACCCAGCGCGCAAACCACGGAAGGCUUGCGUUAUCCGGAAUUACAGGAUGGGAUGGAUGCUGCCUGCGAUUUGCUUGCUCUUGCUUGAAGCAAUGUGCCAAGAAGCGUAUGUUUAAGCUCGUCCUCAUGAGCUGUUUCAGGGGAAAACAAAUGUUUUAAAGGGAAAUUUCAAGAUAAUUCACUUUAAUCGCAUCUGGAUCAGCUGUUACAAAAGAAAUGCCUCCGUGUAGCUUCAACUUGGAGAGAAGCGAUGCGGCUAGUCGUUUGAUGCACAAGACACAACAAGCGAGCGGAUUUUAACAAAGCAAGUGGCACAAGUCAGAUUAGAAAGUCAACAGCAUACCCAGAUUUCAGCAAAAGAAAGAACAUGAGUUAAGUAGCCGAUCUCUUUCUUUCCCAUCUUGUUAAUCACGGUGACAAGAAAUACUAGCAGUAGUCUCUAAUUUCGCAAAAACAAAAAAGUAGUACAGUAGUCUCUAAUUUCUCGAUGUUUCAUUUCACCAAGCACAAAACACGACCAAAAUCGUCUCGGCCUCUUCCAAACGCGUACUGUAUCACAUUAGCCAUCCUACAGACCUCCAAAAAGAACAAGGAAAGCGCGAC